rnacentral:lncRNA from 1 species
CAUCGCCGCGUCUUCAUCAUCUUUAACCCCACCCCACCUCGCCGUCUUCAUCAUCUUCAACCCCACCCCACCCCGCGUCUCGUCAUCACUGUCAAAGACAUCAAAGGAAAAGCAAAGUGCUUCUUGUCGUUAGCAUUGCCUCCAAAUGUGGAUUCACAAGCACCAAUUAUACCAAUUGACUCAACUCCCUAAUACUAACACUAAAAGGCUAAGAUCUUUCAUAGCUUUCAACAAACCCAAAAAUUGAUCUGAACCCAAAUAACAAAUAACCUCAAACGCUACGAGAAUUUGACAAUACUAGAGCACAAGUCUCAAAAAAUAAAAGUACACUAAUAAUGUGAAGCCUCUGUGGCAAAAAGGUGCAAGCUUUAUUUAACAGUACCUUGUGGUUGGGGAAAAGAGUGCACAAGUGAAGAAUAAGUGUGUGAAAUCAAAAGGGUAAGUUUCAGAUUUUUGUCAAAGUGUACGUACUUUAAGUUUGGAGCUUUUAGUAGGGUCUUAAAUAGCAACAAGUAUCAUUAAUUCAUUCAAGAAUCAUGGCUGUUGAUGAAAAAAUUAGUUACCAUUCUUGAAGUCCCAGACAGUUGAUGUGAGAAAAAGGAAAUAUAGACAAAAAGUUCAAUGAAUGGGGUGUCAAUUGCAUGAACAGAGUCAUAAGUUCGUUGUUGGAUUUCCAGUUGUGAAAUGGCCUGAAAAUGGAGAAGAAGAUGAACGCAUGAGGGGGAAGGUGAGGAUCAGUUUUUAUUUUCAUUUUUUAAAAAAAAAUUAUAAUUUUUUUUUAAUAAUUUGAAUUCUCAAUGCCAAGUGUCACCUUUUAAUUCGUCGUUUUUGUCAUAUCAGCACAGCUUUUAGUUGAUUGAAAAAAAAUUUUUAGAGUUUCUUUUUAAUAAUAAUUUUUUAUUUAUAUUUUUAAAUAAUUUUAUAAUUAUUUUUAAUUAUUUGGAUCCUCAAUGCUAUUUUGUUUUCAUUUUUUAAAAUUUUUUGUGAUUUUAUUUUAAUUUUUAAAUGAUUUUUAAUUAUUUUUUAAUAAUUUAUUUUUUUAAAAUUUUAUAAUUUGUUUUUAAUAAUUAAUUUUUUAUUUUUAUUUUUUAAAUAUUUUUAUAAUUAAUUUUAAUAAUUAUUGGACCCAUAAUGCCACGUGUCAGCUUUUAAUUAACUCUUUUUGCCACAUCAUCGCGUGUGUGCAGCACACACUUUGAGCUUUUAGCUGAUUUUGAAAAAAUGCCCAAUUGGUUCAAAAUUCGGGGGGUUUAGGAGCCUGAUAGGUACAGACCUUAAUUGAGGGGUCUAAGUGAAUUUUUGAAAUAAAUUUUAGGGUCUGUCGAUGACUUAAGCCUAAAAACAAAGAGUGUAUACAUUGACUUCCCUACGUCAUGAUUGUUUGAUUUGAUUUUUUUUUCAUGUAUUUUGAGUAUGACUAUCUUCAAAACAUACGAAAGGCCAUAAACAAAAUUUACCUAUGAGCAAAAUCCUUGAGUCAUGAAAACCUCAAAUUAGGACAUAAACUAAGAAAUAGUAAAUGAUAGAAAUAAUUUUAUCAUAUCAUUCUUUAAAUAAAAUUAAUUCAGUACUUUGAGAUAUAUUGAGUAAUGAAUGUAAUUAAUAACUAAGGAUAAAGUUGAUAGAAAUGGUUAAAUUAUCAUUGAUUUUUUAAACUGAGUAAGUAUUAAAAUCUUAUUAUUUUUUAUGAAAAUAUUUUAUUUUAAAUCUGGUAACAUCACUCCAUAAAACCUCCAAUUCUUAUUAUUUAAUUUCUCCAAUAUUUUUAUAAAUGUAAAAAUUCUGCUGUUCACGUUUAGAAAUUUAUCCAUUUAAUAAUAAAUAAUUAUACUAUCAAUAUUUUUUACUAGAGUCAUUAAUCCAUUCUCAUCAAUUACUGGUUAGGAAUUGGGAAGAAAAUUAUUUAAAUAUUUUAGAAUUUAUCAUAUUUUAAAUUACUGAAUUAUUUAAGUUGUUAGAGUAAUUAUUUUAGAUUUUAAAUUUUAGUUUAAAAUUUAAUUGAUAUAAGAAUGCAAACAUGGUCGACGAAAAUAGGAAGUCAAGCAAAAAUAAGAAGCGAAAAGUUUGGAUAAAGACUUGGUUAGUUUACUUAUUUAUUUAUUUGUGGAUCUUUUCAAAUCUCUUUUUAUUUAUUUUUCUGAUUAAAAAUUAUAUAUAUUUGUACUUUAAAAAUAUCUAAGAAAUAGAUGACUUAAAAAUAAGGUUAAUAUUUAGAUUUUAUUCAUUAUUCAAAUUUUGAAAAUUAUAUAAAUGAGACAAUCUGGCAAUGCUCAUUAAAAAAAUAUCUAAGGAAAAAUAUAUUUUCUAAUUAGACUUUUAAAUUCAAAUUGGUUACAAAAUUUAAGCUGUUACAAUCUCUCAUUUAAUUCACAUAAAAAUAAACACAUUUAUUAAAAACAACAAUUACUACCUUACGAAGAGUAAACUUGCAAGUACUAGAAUUCACAUAUACCUGAUUUUACAAGCAAAAUUAUAUCGGCCCUUAUUUGUAGCAACUAAAUAAAAGUUUUCAUCCCCUCUUUUCAACUUUUUAUAACAAGGCUAACUACGUGUGCAACAAAUAUACUUAGAUUUGAAUUUACACAAAAAUAUCUAAUUCGAAUGACCUUUCUAAAAUUCAAACAUUAAUUUACUUUAUAGUUUAUUAAAAAAUGUUUAAUUUAAAUAUACUGUUUGCAAUUAAAAAUAUUUAUAAUUAACUUAAAUAGUUUGUACAUUUUUUUAAAAACACAAAAAUAAAAGAACAUGGAACAAUUUAAACGUGCUCCAAAAUAAUAGAGCCAAGCAAACCCACAAUUUUCAAUUAAAUUAUUAAGACUUAUAAUCUUUUAAAAGAAAAAAAACCCAUGUUGCUGUUUUAUUUAAUUAAAAUAGAGUUUAGCUUUCAAAUAUUCUAUUUCAUACAUGAAUUUAAGCCAUGUAAACACAAAUUUUUAAUUUAAAAAUAUAUAUGAUAAAGGUUUUAGCUUUAACUUUUAAUUAUUUAUAGAGAAAAGACAUGAUUUUCCAACUUGUCCUCCAAACUCAUUUUAGCACUUAAACUAAACUUUCAUUUAUUUACCCCUCUUAACAUCUUUAAACUGUAUUUAUUUUACCCUUAAUGCUGACGUGACAUUAUAAAAAAAAAAGAGGCGCGUUUAUUAUUUAAAAAACAGAUUUUUCUUCUUUCUUUCCCACUUAUUUUACACACACACACACACACACACACACAUAUAUAAAAUCAAACCUUUUCUUCUUUAAUGCCCCCCAACCUCCCUCACCUCUCAUCCCUACCCCGCACCCCACACCCACACCCACACCCCACACCCUUUUCUUCUCCGGUACAUCAUCAAACAAUAAUACCCAUUACAUAGACCUCUACCUCCGAGAAUCUCAUAAAGAUUAAAUUUUGUUGUUGUAGUAACUUAGGUUGAUGAUGAUUUAAGCAUUGAUUUGAUAUGAACACUACUAAUGUUCAUAGAUUGAUCAAAAAAAGUUGAUUUUUUAAGAGGUGGGGUUUGAAUUUGAAGGCUUGAGAGUCGAAAGGAAGAAGAAGAAGAAGCCAUAUUUUUUUGAUAUUUUUCAAGAAUUUGAAUUUGUUAAAGAUGUAAGAGAUGAAAAGUAUUUUGUAGAAAUGGAAAAGUGUAAUUUGUCCUUUGAAUUUUGACCACUAAUCUGUUUGUGUUGUGAUUGAAUCGAGCCAUUGCCAGCGAUGUUGCGGUGGUGAUUGGAUUGGAAUCGAGCCGUCGGUAUUUUUUUUCUCAAGGGUUUAUUAACUUCAGGAGAUUUUAGGUGAGGGGGCACAGGAGGUGGGGGGCUACGUUAAUUACAAGGUAUAUAUAUAUAUAUAUAUUUUAUUUUUUUUUAAAAUAUAUAAAAAUAAUAUGUGGGGGAUUUUUUUUUAGAAAAAUAGUAAUUUCUUACAUGGCAAUGACAUGUCGUUGAUGUGGCAGUGAUGUGUACGCGAGUGUAACAUACUCUCCGUUGUGAGAGUGGUAUUCAGUUUUGAGGGAUGAAAUUAAUACACUUUAAAGAUGUUAAAGGGGGUAAAUAAACGAAAGUUAAGUUUAAAUGCUAAAGUGAGUUUGGAGGAUAAGUUCAGGAGGAAAAAGAUGUCUUUUCUCUUAUUUAUAUUUUUUUUCCCCUUAUUAUAAGGAAUUCUAUUGUUCUCUCUAAAAGUUAUAAUUGGAUGAUUUGAUUACUGUUAUUUUCAGCAUUAUUAAUGUCUAGAACAAUUGAAUAUUGUUAAGAAGGUAUUCGUGAAUAUGUGAAGAAUCAAAAUGAAUUCAAUCAAGGUAAUUUUAUCUACAUUUUUAAUGCAUGCAUGCAAUCAUCCGGAAUUAUAAGAGUUUUUGAUGGUAUAUUUAUCUUUAUGAUUUUCUCACAUAUUUUCUGUUCUAUGAUGGGUCAUUGUGUCACUAAUUUGUGUGUUCUCAUAUAGAUGUAAUGUUUGUUCUUAUGCUCAUUAUUCAUUUAUAAAUUUCUAAUUUUGAUUAAUAUUGCAAUAUCAUCAUCUUUUAGCGGAGUUUGAUAUAAUUUAAAUUAUAGCAACAUAAACUGAAUGUUGGUAAGAUAAAUUUUAAUUUUUUUUUUAAUUUCUUGCAAGGUUGAUUUAUGCACGAAGGGCUUAUUGAUUUGGUGCUAUCUAUCCAUUAUAUUUGAUGUUUUGUGAAAAAAUGAAUCAAACGAAGGAGAAGGCAAAGCAUAUGUUAUCUAAAUAAGUCAUUAAAAUUAUCCAACAUGUGCCAAAAAAUAUGAACAUUUAUUAAUGAGGUUCACUCCUUUAACAAUACAUGCAUAUUUCUUUAUGCAUUUUUUCUUUUGGGAUCAAUUUGCCAUACUUGAUGAAGUUUGAAUUUAAGUAUCACUAAAAUCACACUUAUAUUGGUUACACUCUCACACAUAGUUUAUAGGGCAUAAUCAAAAAAGGGAAUAAAGAAAAAAUCGAAGAGAAAAUCUUCUGCAUCUUUUUAUAACCACCAUAAUUUUAAUUUUAUGUUGUUUGUUUAUAAUGCAGAUAUCAUUAAAUUUUUUCAUUGAAUCAGACAAAAAACUAUAGAAAAAGCAAAGGAUGGUCAUAUCUAUCGUAUUUAAUAAUUUUGAUGUUGGUUGAGACCUUUCCAUUAACAUUAUCGUGCACUUUAAUCUGUCUUCUGUUCUUCAAAUAUCAGUUACAGACAAUAUAUGUUUUCUGUACAAAUCAAUAGAAAUUUAGUUAUGUGGUAGUGCAUUAAAAAAAAAAGGGGCUUAAAAUGGUCUAAGGUUAGGUGGAAAAGUAAAUAUUUUUGUGAUUGAGGAAAAGGUUGAGUAGUUGAUACAUUUACAUGUUUUUCUUAAUAAUUUACACAUUAAAUUUAAAUAUAUGAAUCAAUUACUCAUUGACAUUAUUCUUAUAGAAUAAGAGUUUGAAUUAUUUUACUAGUAGUUAUAAGUAUUUUGUUAUUAUAUACUUAGAUGAAAUUAAAUGACUUUUUAGAUAAAAAAAAGUUAACUACAUAUUGUCAAAAAAACUGUUCUGUAUAAAUAAUUUAGUGAUAUUUAACGAUGAAUUUCAUAAAUAAUUUUAAUUUCUUAUUUAGAAUGUAAAAAAAAUAACAACCUAAUGUAAUGGCCAAAGAUGUAUACAUAUAAUUGUAACCUUAAAAUUUUGGAUACAAUUUUCUUUUUAGGUAUAUGUCAUCUCUUUCAUGUGAUAAUUUAUUAUUCUAAGAGUAGAUGUUAUAAUAGUGUUAAGGAAAGUAAUCUUUUCAUUAAUUUUUAAUUAAUAGAAUCAAUAACGUUAAAAAUUAUAGCUAUAAAAAUACAAUAACAGUGGGAACAUACAUGAAGAGAGGCCGAACAUACUAAUUAUUUAGAUAUUUAUGCUUUGAAUUGAUUUUAAAAAUAGAAUAAAUAAGUUAUACUACAAAAUAUUUAUCAUAAGUUCAAACAAUGAAAGAAUUCGAGCCUAGAAUACACAUUGCUUAUUGGUGAUGGACUUUUGUAUGUAUGUAUUUUAUAUUAUUUUACGAAAUGGCUGAAAUUCCUCUUUUAAUCAUUAGGGAGAGCACUAAAGGCAAUUUAGUUAAGAAGAAACAAGUUAAUAAACAAUAUCACAUUUCAUAGCUGCCUUCACUAUUUAAGUACGCUCACAAUAAUCAAAUUUUUGUUAUCCUCUUAUUGUAUAUUAGCCUUGGAAGUGUACCUUAUUUGAAAGAAAUAAUCGAUAAUGAAACAGUAGUAGUUACACAUACCAUAAAAAAUAAGCAAUAUGUCACCCAUAAUAGAUAUACAUUCAUUUAUAUUAUAUUUUUCUGUUUUGUUUUCUUUAAAAUAUUCACACAUUACUCGAAUACGUAUACUAAAAAUGUAUAAUGUUUUAGGUACAUGACUACAAAAGAAAAAUAUGUCAUAUAAAUUUGGAUAAAGGGAAUAUAACAUCAAAGUCCAAAAUUUAAUUUUAAAAAACAAGAAGUGAAGUCUCAAGGAUGAUGGUGAAGAUAUUAUAUAUGCUCUAAUCGUUUCAGAGAAAAUUAUAUACUAUUCCAACUUUGUAUUUAUUUGAUAGAAUAGUAUUAUUUUUUGUCGGAUUUUCAUUGAAAGCAAGACAACUAACCAUAUUUUUUGAAAAUAUUUUUUUAAUUUUACAGUACAUUGAUAAUAAUAGUUAAGGUUUGAGUUGUAUUUUCUUAUUCAGAUUUCUGUCAGUAAAAUUAAGACAAAUUUUGUAGUAUUUAAAUAUUAAAUACUCUAUAUAUUCCAUACAAAAUGUUAGUUUUUAUAAACAAUGAUUUAUAAAAAAAAUUUAAAAUAAAUACUUAUAAUAUAAAAUACAUAUUUUGUAUACACAUAUUUGUGUUAUUUCAUUUCGAUAUUUUAAGUUUGAAAUAGUCCGCGCAUCGCGUGGGAACGCAAACUAGUCACAUUAAAAGGUAAAAUGUACUCACUCUCUGAAUGUCAGACAAUAUUUGAUUUAAAAAUUAAUAAUAAUUUAUUAUUUAUAUUUAUUCUAUUGCUGCUAUUAAUUAUUUUUUAUCAAAAUAGUUGACAUAUAUAAAUUUUCUUUUUAAUAAAAAUACAAAUUGACUAAUACGAUCCUAUUUUUUUUUUAAUCUUUAUAAAUAAAUCUUAUUCAUUAAUAUGAGAAUUAAUUACUAAGAAUAUAAUUGAAAAAAAAUGACUAUUUGUCUUUGAUCUUUUAAGCAUGUCAACUAUUUUGAGACAGAGAUAGUAUUCAGAAUUCAGUGUAUUUUUUAAAUAUUAAAUUUAUUAUAUUUAAAAAUGAUGUAGUAAAAAGGUAUUGCUUUGUUAUUUUUUAUUUAUUAAAAUAUAUGUCAAGUUAAUAAUGAAUAAGUAAAAAUAGAGAGACAGAAUUAGGCAAAUCUAGAAAAAUGAGCUUAUUGAAAAAGCACACGGGAGAUUUUGAAAAGGGUCCCUCUGGUAGACGGUUAAGGUAGGAUAUCUCAUAUUAAGUCUUGGAUGAAAAUUUUAAUGUAGUUGGUAGACUGCACAAUUUUAUGCUGAAAAAUCACUUGUAUCCCUUCCAAUUUAAAAUUAUUUUAUCCUACAUGAGAUAAAUUAAUCCAAACAUUAUAAUCCCAUAAUAAUUGUAUAAUUAUUAUGAUUUUCUUUUGAAUUUUAACUAGCGGAUGUUUUCGAAAAAUUCUAAAAGUAUUCAUCAGUUUUGUCCUUCUGAGAUGAUAUCUUUACACCCUUGUAGAACACAUUAUCCUUGCUCAUACUCUACUAAGAAAUUCAAAAAGUGAAAUUAGGAAUAGCAGUGGUAAAAUUAAUCCAAACUUAUAUGACUCGUUGUUUUACUGGAUUUGGACGAAUUGAGCUAUGACCCAUUGUUUUAGCCUAUCUAAUUUAGCUCUCAUCUUAAUCCAUCUCAACUCAGCAGAGUUGGACAAUGACUCAUUUAUUGCUCGAACCAAUUUCGCCCUGUUCAAAUUUAGCCCAGACGACUCAUUUGCCACCCCAAUUAAGAAGCUCCAUUUCAUCAGGUGAAUUGAUGGACUAAGCAAGUGAAUCAAAGCUAUGUUUAUAGGCCAAAGACAGAACCAAAUCAUAUUACAAAAUUCUUAUCAAGAUUUUUCCAUUUCAUGAAUCAUGUGUCAAGGCACUGAAAGGAUCAUCCAAACAAUGUUUACUAACACAACUACUAUAGACAUUUAAGAAAUAUAUCCCUUCAUCUUCAAACUCUCAACAGCGUCCUCAAUUAUUUGCUCCAUCUCGAUAAAUUGCAGUCCCAAGUCCAUCAACUUCUUACCUCCCUCCUUGGUCCUUAAUAGUCCAGGUUGAGUAUCUUUUGGCAACCUGAUUCGAAUGAGCAAAACACAACAGCGAAAAUAACUACUAAUGAGAAACUCAAAUUUAUUUGCAAUAGUUCGAGUUGUCAAAUAUUUUUCUAAAAAACAAAAACGUGAAAGAGAAGAAGCAGAAGUAAAAAAAUCAGAGACCAAAGAAAUUACUUAGGUUGUUAAACAUCAAGGACACAGGAUUUUGCUAGUCUUAUUUACUUUGACAUCCCUAAGCAUGUGUUUAAAGGGGGGAAAACAGAAGGAACACUAACAAUAAGCAGUAAGAGUAGGUUAUGCAAGUCAGGAGACAGUAUUCCAACUCCAAUAAAAUCAAGUGGCUUCAAGAAGAUGGAGGCUCAUUUGAGAAAUUCCCACUUAAUAGAAGUCUCGAUGAGGAGAUUCAAUUAUUUAAGCAAUUAGAUCGCUAAUUAGAAAACAAAAGGCACUACUUAGUGAAGGAGUUUUAGAAAUUUCAUUUUGUGGAAGGUGAAGGCAGCCCAGAUAAGGAAUGUUCGAAAACACUAGAACAGUGCACGUCUAGGAUAAUAUAAAUGCUCACUCCUUAAAGUCAGAUUAAAAUAGUAUUACCUAGGAAUGUUAAAUUCAGGGUAAAGCUCUGCAACCUUAGCCGCGAAAUCACCAUAGUGAGUUAUGGCUUCAAGACACACGUGCCUUCCUUUUGCUGAUUUGUUUUCAUAAACAAGAAUAUGUGCUAAUGCCACAUCCUUGACAUGAACUAAUCCCAUAAAGAAAUCUUGAUAUGUAUCGGUGCAGCCUGAGUAUAAACAAAGUGACAAUUUAUGAUUCUGAGGGAAAAGCUUCAGCAGAGACCACUAGGUGGCAAUUUGACUUAAUGAACUGAUUCUUUUAAUAAGAAUUUAAAUUGAACAGAAGAAAAAUAGGAACAACAAUCUAGCCCCAUCCAAGAGCUGUUCUUACAGACACGGGGAAACUAGAGCUCAUUACUCAAUGUUACCUUGAAGAAGACGAAGAAUCAUCAGCAUGCUAGCAUUAAGGGUUGGUGGGAGAAUAGGUCCCAUUACAGUUCCUGGAUUCACCACAACAAUAUCCAAAUCUUUUUCCUUGGCAAAUUCCCAAGCAUCUUUUUCAGCAAGUGUUUUUGACAAAGGAUACCAUACCUAAACCAUAAUAAGAUUGACAUCAUUGUCAAAGGGAACUGAUUAGAAGUGAUAAAUGUACCAAAAGAAGGGAGUAGCCUAGUCUUUUCCACAAAAUCCGUGUUGUCUAGGCAAAAGCCAAGCAAGUCCAGAAUGAGUCAAGCUUUUGCUUCUAUUUUCCUUUUGAUAUUUUAGCCAAACUUACUGAUUAAGAAUUAAGAGACUAAGUUACUUUAAUUAGUACCAAAAAAGAUAUCAACGCAAAGGAUUAGAAAGGUCAACUUUUCUUCAUCUUUCGUAUCUUUCACGAUGCUGUUGUGUCUAUUUUGUUACUUUUAUAGUUAAGUCAAUAGACUAACGGGUUUAAGCAGGUUAAUCAAUGGUAUGUGUAGCAAUAUUUUCUUUUUAUGAAGCUAAUAGUUCAUUGACUCGAUGAGGAAAUCCCACAUACAAGACAUAAAUCACAGUAGAGAAUUUUAUACAAACACGCUAAUAGUUUAAGCUUCACAUGUUUGAUAAUCCAUGACCUCAUCCUAGCCUUUGAAUAUUCUCAAGAGUAAACUCUUAUUUUACUCCAAGAUGCUUUAGGGCUGAAGGAAUUCUCUUAUUUGUAGAACACAAAGCCUCUUAUUGUUCCUAUCGGGUAGCUUAAUCAAAAUUAUGGCAUUACUUUAACAAUAACUUGAUAUUCGUGAAUCAACCUAACUUCUCUAAUUUGAAUUCUCUUUAUUUACUUUUCAGUCAAGCACAACUAAACAUAACCCAUUUUAAGCAACUUCACACAAUACACAGAUGGAAACACUAUGCAUGAUAACAUAGGCAUACAUAGAAGCAAAUAUCAAACUCAAAUCUCACGGUACGAAUUCUAGUUAAAGCCGAGAAAUUUCCUGUGAGUUAGCCAACCAAACCUAGUUGACUCACGAGUUCAAAACUUGAGAAGGUACGGAGCUGCCUCUCUUCUUUACCUCACUUAAUUAUCAAACUUCUUCUAAGCAGCAUGAUUUCAGCUCGUCACAUUUGUCCUACCCGCAUAUUCUGAGUUGCGUCCUUACUUUUGAACCAAAAUCUUGGAAGCGCUAAAAUCUAAGUAUGAUUGAACAAAGCAUGGGCUCAAUUUCACAUCCAAGUACAUAAUUUACUCCAAAAUAUAAGUGAAAGAAACCAAGGAAUACUACUUUUCUUCGGUACAAAUCAAUUAAUCAGUCAACUACACCUCAUACCAAACUAAUUACUAGGAUAUUUGGGCCAUUUCAUUUCAGUACAAACUUAAAAAGAAUAAGAGAAAGAAGAACUUGUCAUAAGGGUGGCUAAUAGAGCUGAUCUUCUAUCUUCUCUUUCUCCCUUCCAUUGGAGAUAAUUAAUGAUGUUAGAGGUCAGUGCGGCAGCACUUUACCAACUUUUGAAUUAACAUUGGACUAAUGCCACGGUGCCCAAAAAUGAUAACACGACACUCGACUUGUGUUUCACCACGUUCACAAAAUCUAUUCUUUCAAAACUAAGUUCAAAAUUUUAUUAUGUUAAAUGAAAUCCAACACAACAACCAAAGCAAUCUUAAAAUCAUACCAUUUCCUAAUCCAAAUGCCAAACUGCUAACAAUACCGUAAAUACUAGAGAGUAUCAAUCAGGAUUAGUCAAAUUGAUUCUGUCCUAUUUUAGUUCACAUUCCGUAUUUAAACCAACAUUUCGAGGGGAUAAUCAAGCUAAAUUUUCACUCAAUUCUUCCCUCGUCUUUUCUUUCACAGAAAUGAAAAGACAGAUACUGCAUAAGGAAUGUUUAAGAUACAAAGGCAAGGCAAAACCAAUCCCAAACAAAAAAGUAGAAAUGAAAGCUGGAUAAGGGAGAGGUUUAAUUUUGAUAAAGAAGAUAGGUGAACUGUAUGUACCCCAUUCUGUUUGCAGUAUUCAAUGUCAGUCCAGCAAUCCUCAUUCUUGAUAUGAUCAGCCGGCCAAUUAGGACUUGGGAUGAUGGCCGAUAUAGAUGAAGUCACCACCACACGCUUAACCCCGAGCUCCUUUGAUGCUGUAAGUACGUUACUGGUGCCUUUGAUUGCUGGCGACAGAAGAUCAUUCUAUAACUCACCCAACCACAAUCCCAUGUAGAUAACAGACAGAAAAGCAAAUUAAUACCAAAACAACAAAUCAAUAUGAACAAGUAAAUGAGCAAUAGCAGAGGCAGAGCUAGAAGCCCAUGGGUUCAGUGUAUCUUUAGUUCAAACCUUGUAAUCAUAUAGCGAAAAUCACUAAAUAUGUACAAAAACUAAAUGUAGAACCCAAAAUUACUAACAUCUGAUAUCACUAUCCUAGAAUUUGGCACCAAUAAGAUUCAAAUUCUAGCCCCAAGUAGAAAACAGAUAGAAUAGCAAACUAAUACCAAAACUACAAAAUCAACAUGAAGAACAAGUAAUAGCAGCCUGUUUGGCCAAGCUUUUCAGGGGCCAAAAGUGCUUAUUUUUCCCAAGAAGUGCUUACUUUAGAGAAGUAAGGUGUUUGCCCAAUCUUAUGGGAGAAAAUAAGUGCUUCUAGGGAGUAGCAAAAGUUGUUUUUCCGAAACUUAAAAAAUAAUUUUUCAUUGAGAAAAAUGCACUUUAAAAAAGCUUGGCAAAUGCAAAUUGCUACUCAAAAAUGUUUUAAAGUUUAUUCGCCAAACACAAACUACUUCUUAUUGAAAAUAUUUUUUUUAAAAAACUUUAUAAAAUAAACUGAUUUUAGAAGUUAGGCCAAACAGGCCGUAAAUGAGCAACAGCAGAGGCAGGGCUAGAAGCCCACCGGUUCCACCCAAGCCAGUUGUUUUAGUUCAAACCAUGUAUUCGUGAUAAAAAAUUCACUUAAUAAAUAUAAAACUUAAUUUAGAACCUUAAACCACUAACGCCCAAUAUCGCUAUCUUAGAAUUUGGAACCAAAAAGUUCAAAUUCCUGCUCCGUGUAUGACCAAUAUAAGUAGUAAAAGAAAUUGAGCGAUUCUAGAACUCACCUCAGGAUCUUUAACUUCAUCAACAAUGCAAGGGGAAGCAAGGUGAAAAACGCCAACAGCACCAGUAAUUGCAGGAACAAUUGAGUGAUAGUUAAGCAGAUCAAUUUGAUAAAGACGGAGACGGGAUUCAGCCCCUUCUAAGGCAAGUAAAUGCUUCGUCUCUUUCUCGUCAUCUAAAUGGAUAAGAGGAAGAAUAAGGUGAAACAAUUAUUUUUGAGCAAAGGAUCAAAAGCACAUCUAAAAAGUAUUUCGAUUUUUUGAGUUUCAUAUUUGAACUAUCAUGUAUGCAAAUUUCUUAUAUGAACAGUAUCACCUACUACCUCCUAAAAUACAACUCAACUAUUAAUUGUUCACUUUUUUUAUAUGAAAUACUGAUCUAUCGCCAAUGAUUUAUCAAAGCACACCUUAGCUAUCAAUUCUUCAUUUUUCUAUCCGAAAGACUGAACUUUCACCAAGUAUUUAUCAAAACAAACCUAAACUGUGAAUUGUUCACCUUUCCUAUACAUGGACUGAGCUAUCACCAACUAUUUAUUAAAACAUACAUCAACUAUAAAUUAUUCACUUUUCCUAUCUGAAAAACUGAAUUAUCAUCAACUAUUUACCAAAACACAUCUCAAUUAUCAAUUGUUCACUUUUACCAUCAGAAACACUGGAUUAUCAACAACCAACUACUAAUCAAAACACGCCUCAAUUAUCAAUUAUUCAUUUUUUCUAUCUGACAGUCUAAACUAUCACCGACUAUUUAUCAAAACACACAACAACUAUAAAUUAUUCACUUUUCCUAUCUUAAAAACUGAAUUAUCAUCAACUAUUUAUCAAAAAACUCUCAAUUGUCAAUUGUUCACUUUUACCAUCAGAUAGACUGGAGUAUUACCAACCCAUUAUUUAUCAAAACACAUCGUAACUCUCAAUUGUUCACUUUUCCUAUCUUUCUUUCAGAUAGGAAAAGUGAACAAUUGAUCUUAGUAGUUAAGGCAUGAAACUUUAAAAACUGGCAUAGAUUUUGACCAUUUAAUUUUUUUAAUUUAUUUUUUGUGAAGUAGAAAUUGAUGAAAGAAAAAGGAAAAGGAGGAGACUAACUGAGAUCUUUAACAGUGGCCUGAACAGUAUAGCCACGUUCAAGGAGAAAACGAACAAGCCAUGAACCAAUGAAACCACUUCCUCCAGUAACACACACUACUUCACCUUCUUUGUUUGCCAUUUUUAUUGCUUAGUACCUAUCAGUUUAACACUAGUAGUAAAGGAAUGGAAGAUAGAUGGAAAAUGGCUCUUCCUGUGAUUCUUUAUCCAAUGAAAAAAUGACAAAUAUUUUUGAGUUUUUGUUCCUAAAAAUGGCUAGAGCUUGAACAGAAAAUGACAAAAACAACUCCCUCUCCCCCACCACCCAACCCAUGUUUGCACUAAGUUCAAAAGAUUCCUCCGUCCCCUUCAAUCAAUAAUCCCUACGGAGAAAAUAAUUAUUGCCAUUCACUCAACAUAAGCAUUAGAAAAUAAAAAUAAUAAAAGUAACUUUAUUGUAUUGUCAUUUAAAUAUAAUAAAAUUUAAGGAUCAACUGAUACACGUACAAGUAAUACAAAGAUUAACAAUAUAGAGACCGAUGAUAUAGAGAUUAUAGUAUUGGGAUUACUGUUUAGUGUAUCAUAUGUAUUCUGUUUGAAUUUAGAAAUUUGCACAUUUUAUUUAUGAUUAUACCCUUAAAUUUUUAUGAGUCCUUUUAUUUUAACAUUUAACUAGUCAAAUUAAAUAUUUAAAUUACAAUGUAACAUAUUUAUGCAUGAAUUUUAAUUAAUUUAUAGUUUUUUUUCCGUUCUUUUAAAAUUUAAGUUACCUAAUUUUAAGAUGAUAAAAUAAUUAAAAUGAAGGCGUGCCACUAAAUUGAUUAUAUUAUUAAUUUUUACUUCGCCUAGCUAUUUGCUUUUUUUUUUUUCUUUUUUUUUCUAGAAUUGGAUAUAUUUAAUCUAGAAAACAACAAAUAAUUGUAAUAUUACAUAAAAAAAGAAUUUAAAAAAAAUAAAUAUAAAGCACAUUAUGUGUGGAAACAACAUAAACUCUACAGUAUUUGAUAAUGUAGUUUCAAAUUUUGCAAGGAAAAAAAUAGAAUGUAAAACAUAUUUCCAGUGAAUAAUACUUUCCAUAAGCAAAAUGGCAAGUUGAGAUUGAAGGAUAGUUUAGUUAUUUAGGUGUCUUAUUCAAAUAUGUUAAGCCUUAGAUAAGUUAUUUUUUUAUUUUUAUGGAAUAAAAAUAAUUCAUGUAUUAUGUUAGAUUAAAUUGAGUUAAGUAACCAAAUGAUAUACUGGAUAAGACUAAGGAUGCAUUUGUUUUUUUUAAAGAUUAAGACGUCUGAAUCUGAAUGGAUGUCUGAACGAUUAAGAUGUUGUUUUUAGAUCUGAAUAUUGAAUGAUUAAGACGGUUUGUUUUUUUAACAUCUGAAUAUACAUAAUUUAUUUAUUUAUAAUAAAUAUGCAAUUUAAAAUUAAAAUAAAAUAAAAUAUUAUAUUAUCUAAAAAAUAUUAUAUCAUACAACCACUUCCAGUUUCAUCUGAAAUUAUCAAUUCAAUCAAUGUCUCUUGACAGAGUAGUAUGAAACUCUACAAGUAGGAUAUUUCCGAUAGACCCCCGGUUCAGAAGAUGAAGAAGCUAAAAUAAUAAUACAUAUUAUAACAGCAUCAAAAGAUAUACUAAUAGGACUGUACAAAGUAGCAAAAGAACAAAUUAAAGUGUUCCACUUCUAAUCUUAAACGAAUUCUAAUGUUUGUUAUUUCAUUCAUUUACAUGUUCUAUCCUACACGAUGAGUGAAACAACAACAUAUAUCUAUGCGCAUUCUUGCAAAAACUAACGUGAAGCAAAACAAACUACAUGCUGAUCUUUUUCACAUUUAUUUUGUACGUGUUGAAUUAAGAAGAUUAAACAUGAUUUCAAUUGAAGAUCCAAUUAUGUCUUUUGGAGUAGCGCAUGGAUAUUGAGCAGCAAAUAGUGCAUGUUUAAAUUGAUAAUAAAAAUAUUUAUAAAUAGUUUUGGUGAAUCAUACCUGAAAGAGAAGGAAAAUAAUGUGAAGAGGAAGAGGAAGAAAGAGAGAGAAACGUGAAGACAGAGAGAGCAAUGCGAAGAGAGGGUGGAAGAACAACGUAUUUUAAAAAAAAUAAUAAAGUUUGAAAUUUGUGAGGAAAUAAAUUGUGUUUAAACAAAGUCUAAAUGUCAUUCAGACUCUUUUCCAUGUCUGGCUGAUUCAGAGGUUUUAAGAUGCUUUUAAAAAGAAAAAACAAAUGCACUUAAUGGGCUAAAAUUUGAACUAUUCAGAUUCAGACCUGCAUUAAGUGUAAACAAAUAGAGCCUAAAUAUUAAUCAAAGGAUUAUCCUAGUUAGUGCAAGUCUACCAAAGAGGUAAAUUAUUUUUAGUGCUAAGGGUAAAAUGUUUGUUGUUGUGGUUGUAGGGUAAAAUAAGUAGAAAUCGAUAAAUUAUUUAUUGAGUUUUUAAAUUGAACAAGUAUUGUUGGCCAUAUAAUUUUUAUUAUAAUGGACAAGUAAAAACGAACGAAGGGAGUGUUAAUAUCAUGUUUGCCCAUGUAAAUCAAAUACGAAUUGAAGUUAUUUUUAAAUUUUUAUGAGAGACAUGAUAGUGAAAAUAAGUUUUUACUUUUUUUUGACGUAUGAAACUUUUGAAAUUCAACUCCAAGAAAAAAUAAAUAUUUUUUCAUGGUCAAAUGCCUGCAGGAUAUUACUCCCUUCACCUAAUUACUUGUCACAAUUUUUAUUUGCACGUUCCGUAAGAAAAAUAUGACUAAUUGACUAAACUACUCUUGAUUAAGAAAAAUAUGACUAAUUGACUAAACUACUCUUAAUUAUUACUACGCUCUAUUUAAAUAGUACCUUUUUUAUACUAUAUUAAAAUCUCUUCAUAUAAAUAUACUAAGGACAAAGGUGGAAACAAAUAAGUAAUUAUAUCUUGAUUCUUUGAAAUGACAAAUACUACUUCCUUAACCCAUCUUUACUUAUCUACUUAUCUACUUUUCUAUUGACAUAAAGAUUAAAAAACUGUAAAUAAGAGGGUAAUUUUAUUAUAUUACCUUUUUGAAUAUAAUAAAUUUAAUAUAUUGAAAAAUAUAUUAGAUAAUGAAUCGUAUUUAAUGCUAACAGUAAGUUAUUAAGGUGGGGAGGUGGGGGGUUAUAUAUAUUAGAUAAAGUUAUUAAUAGUGUAUAUAAUUGCUCGUGUAGUUUAGGGUCUAAAGUAAGUUAUAUGGACAAGUUCAGGGAUGAAAUAAUGUAUUUUCUGUAUUUAUAAACUGGAUAAGCAUUGUUGAACAUCCUAAAAUAGAAAAGUGAACAAGUAAAGAUAGACGAAGAAGGUUUUAUUAAAUAUUUAAUUUUUAAUAAGUACAACAAGUAUUUAGAAAUCGAGGGAGUGCUACUAAAACAGUAGUAUAGAAUGAAUAUUUUUUAGUCAUUUAAUAUUUAUCGAAUUUUAAUUGUUGAAUUUAAUCAAAAUAAUAAAUAAAUUAACUAACAAUACCAAAAGUUGUUGUUGUAACCCCCAAAUCGCUACAUAAAAAGUGACAUCUAUAGACAAAAAGUUACAUCAAAUUCUUAAAUAGAUCAAAAGUAACAUAAAUAUAACGAAAUAAAGAAAAAAUAUCAAUAUCAAUUCUUUUUAAAAAAAGAGAGAAAUUUAGGAAAUUUUAGUAGUACUACUUUUAUUUUACUACUUUCUUAUCUAUCGAUAUCUAUACUUUCUAUAUUAAAAGUUUGAAGGGCUUUAGAAAUAUUGUUGAACUUUUUGUCCUUCAUUAAAAGUUUUUGUUUUAUACAAAAUCGUCUUUUCAUUAUUUUUCUAAUAUUUAAAAGCUGAAAAUUAAUUAAAUAUUUAUAGUAAAACCUUUCUUUAUUAGAAGUUAUCAGAAUUAAUGACAACCAAUACCUUUUUUAUUAGUUUUAAAUUUUUAAAUCAACUAAAACAGAUUUUAAGAAAAUUUAAAAAAUCUAGAAAUAAAUAUGAAAGCGUUACAAUAAGAAAAAUGUAAGAAGUACCAAAUUUUUAAAAGUUUUAAGCAAUUAAAGAUUUUUUAAAGAUUUAAUUUUAAAAAUAAGAAAAGAUGUUAAAUACAGAAAAAAAUUAAUCGUGCUAUAAAUAUGGUUCAAAAUUGAUGUAUCUUUCUUAGCCACUAGCAACACGAAAAAGAGAUACUACGUGGCAAAUGGUAAAGUGAAAAUCCAUUAACCACGUGAAACUUCUGGUGGUAAAAUAUAUAUGUGCUUAUCAUAAAAUAUAUGUUAUGUUUACAUUAAUAUAUUCAAGUGUAAAGAAUCGUUGAGAAGUGAUUUGAACUUUUUUAGACUUUAUUAAAAAACUUCACACACGUGCGAUUAAACUUGUAUAUAAAAAUGUAGAAAAGGGUGUCUAUUUAUAGACCACCAAAUUACUAAGCCUGCUAAGUUUGAUAUCAAGUUGACAAUUCGGUCAACAAUUUUUGGUAUUUAAAUUCAAUUUGAACAAGUAACUUUGGUCUUCAAAUCCAACUUGAAUAGGUGACUCUAGGUGUUCAGAUUCAAUUUGGCUACUAACUAUUAUCUCUCACUAAUGACAUCUCAUACAUAUAUAUGUCACAUGACAUUCAUAUUAUAUAACACUCCCCCUUGGAUGUCCACUAAUAGAUAAUAUUUCCCGUUAAAAUCUUACUAGGAGAAUUUAAUGGAAAAACCCCAGUGAACAAAAAAAAUACACGCAUCUUGUAAUACACCUUUAGUGUUGCCUUAUUAAAAACCUUACCAGGAAAAUUCGAUUGGGAUAAAACCUUGGUUAAGAAAAAAAGAGUACAACACGUAUUUUACUUCCCAUGAUGGAAACUUUAAUUUAAUGACUUGAAUCUCCACAUCCCAAUUUUGUGCACCAUCUUCUCGAAAGUUACAGUUAAUAGAGACUUGGUGAAUAAAUCAACAAUAAUGUUACUUGAAUGAAUCUGUCGCACGUUGAUAUCACUAUUCUUCUGGAGCUCAUGUAUGUAGAAAGGUUUUUGCGAAAUGCGCUUUGUUUUAUCUUUUAUGAAUCCUCCCUUUAAUUGCAUUGUGCAUGCUGCAUUAUCUUCAUAUAAAAUCGUAGGCACUUCAUCACAUUUCAGACCACAUUUUUCUCGGAUGAGAUGUAUCAUGGAUCUCAACCACACAUAUUCUCAGCUUACUUUAUGAAUGCCAAUUAUCUCACAUGAUUUAAAGAAGUGAAAACUGUUGUAUAUUUCUUUCGAGAUAUUGCUCCUUCAUGAGCAAAUCGAGACAUAUAUAGGUUUUGUCCUUGCUAUGCCUAUAUUCAUAUUCAUAAUUUUAAUCACAUGUCUUCUUUAAGACAUAUUGUGCACUGCAACUAAAUUCACUACAGGGAAUGGAGCAUAUUCAAUGAAAAAUAUCUCAUAACUUUAUCAAAAUUUUGGCUUAAUCAUCGUUAUAUCAUCAAUAUGGUGCAUUGAGAUUCAAACUCAGCGUCUUAUCCAUAUAAAGGGGUCUUAGGCCAAAAAUCAAUGGGACUUAAACCCAACAUCAUAUCAUCAUGGUGCAUCGGAACUCUAACUCGAUGUCUUACCUUCUUAAUGGCAUGAGCCUUAAUCCAUCAACACACCCUCGGUCAAUAGCACACUAGGCCAAAGUAUAAUAAACUCAAUCUCGAGCCGAUAACAAUAUCACCACUUUAUGAUUUUCAAUAUUCUUUUCAAACUUAAUUAAAGAGCAUGAGUUAGUGAUAUACUUAUCUUAUCAUAAAUAGUAGAAAGGUGAAAUCCAAACCGUGAUAAUUGCAUAGUUCUUGCGGUCUUGCCUUCUCCACUUUUUGAUCCAAUUUUCUUUUCUUAACCUUUAAAUUUUGAGACGAUAGAGUCUUGUGCUCGUGCUGAUAACGUGUUAUAAAAUAAAGAUAAAAGAUUAAUAUCAAACUCAAAGAAAAGAGAGAACUUUAGGAAAUUUUAGUAGUACUUUUGUUCUACUGCUUUCAUAUCUAUCUAUAAUCUAUAUCUAUAAUAUAUUAAAAGUAUGAACGACAUUACAAAUGUUGUUUGAACUUUUUGCCCUUCAUUAAAAGUCCUUGCUUUAGACAAAAUCGUCUUUUUAUUAUUUUUUACUAAUAUAUAAGAGUUAAAAAUUAAUUAAAUAUAUUUAUGAUAAAAUAUUUUUUUAUUAGAAUUCAUCAGAAUUUCAAUAUUUUUUCCUAAUUCAAGAGUUGAAAAUUAAUUAAAUAUAUUUAUGGUAAAAUCUUUCCUUAUUAGAAGUCAUCAGAUGUAAUGACCCUCUCGGUCGUUUGUGGAAUUUUCUCAUCUCUAUUUUAGCUCUCUCCGUAGUUUGUAUGCAUGGAUUAUGACUCACGGGAUGAGUAACACCAAUUUUUGAGGUGUUCGGAGGUUGUUGAAGUCAUUAGUUGAAUUAUUGAGUUUUGAUAAAGUUAAACCUAAUCAUGGUCAAUCUUUGAUCGAAAUGACCUCGGAUUAGUGUCGUAGUAUUUUCAAUAGGUUUGAAAUGUACUUUUAGUCAAUGUAUAAAUUUAAUGUAUUUUUAUGUCGUUUCGAAUAAAUUUUGAGAAUUUAUUAAAGUUUUGGAAUAUUUUUAAAUAAUUCGUUUAAUUAGUGGUCUAAUGGGUAAAAACCAAAAUUAUUUUCUUCUAAAAGGACUAUAUAUAAGCUUUUAGGGUUAACAUAUUGAGAAAGUGGGAAAAAAAAGGGAGAGAAAAAUUUCACGUACUCAAACCGUUAGCGUGGAAAGGACUUCAAGAAAAGGCUUCUUCGUCUACAACAGGUAUGAAAUUAGCAGUUUACUGUAGUGUGCAGAUUAUAAUGGUGUUUGUAGAGUUAAUUAGGUACUGUUAUAUAGCAAUUAAGUGGUGCUUAGUGGUUACAUGGUUAUAUGGAGAGUAAAGUGUAUGUAUCAAGUGAAAAAGACAACAAAGUCACUUUUGUCUUUAUUAAGAAAAUUUCUUAAGAAAAUGUUAUGGCCAGUUGCGUCAUUGUUUACUACUGUGCAGACAAGUUCUGUGUAUAAUAAUUAUUAUUAUCAUUAUUUUUGAAAGCUGCUUCAUAUUUUAGGAUUAGAGAAUUGAGGUUUAGGACUUGAAUUUGUAGAGUAAAAAAAUUAGUAAUUCGAGUGUUGUUAGAUUUGUACUCUUAUGGGAAUUAUAUAUUGGAUAGAUUUGAAUCAUUCGAAAGCUUUACGGAAGGGCAGGACACUUGUGGAUUAGUGAUAUUUAUAUUCUUCGGUUGAGGUAGGUUACGGUUUAAUUGAAGUAUAAACUCAACUUAAUUGUGUUUAUGCUUCUAAAUUGUAUACUUGUUGAUUGGUCUUCGGACAUGCUUGAAAUUGUUGAUCUUUGGAUUGUUGAUGUGUGUAUAAAUGAUUAUUGAAAAUUUACUUGAUGGAAUUAUCUUAUGACUUUAAGUGUACUUGUAAACUUGGUACAUUGUAUUGUAUGCUGUGGGGUUGUGUAAAUUUCAUAUUGAUAAUACUUAUUUAUGUUGGAUCAGGUACCACGCCGGUACGGAUAUGUCUAUGUUGGACCAGGUACCACGCCGGUACGGAUAUGUAUAUGUUGGAUCGGGUACCACGCCCGUACGGAUAUAUAUAUGUUGGAUCGGGUACCACACCGGUAUGAAAUGUAUAUGUUGGAUCGGGUAUCACACCGGUACUGAUAUGUUCAUGUUGUAUCGGGUACCACACCGAUAUGGAUAUAUAUAUGUUGGAUUGAGUACCACGCCGGUACGGAUAUGUUUAUGUUAGAUCGGGUACCAUGCAGGUACAGAUAUGUAUAUGUUUAGAUCGAGUACCACACCGAUACGAAUAUGUAUAUGUUGGAUCGGGUACCACGCCGGUAUAGAUAUAUAUAUGUUCGAUCGGGUACCACACUGGUAUGGAUAUGUAUAUGUUGGAUCAGGUACCAUGCUGGUACAGUACAUGAACAUGAUUGUUCCCUGUAGGUCAUGACCAUUUGGGCAAAAAUAAGUCCCAUAUUAUGUGUGUACAUAUUGUGUUAAUUCUGUGGAGGUUUACAGCAUGAUUGAUACUCUUUAUGGUUAUAUGGCUUGUUUGUGAGCACUAUUUUGACCUUUUGUUGCUGUAUUAUUGAUUCAUUGAAUAUUUAUUAUGUGACUAUGUCUGUUUACUUGUUAUUUGAUUCAUGUUGUGUAUAUGCUAUUAAAUUGAGUUGGCUUGUGAUAUCUACCAGUACAUAAUGGUUUGUACUGAUACUACCCUGUACUCUUCUUUUGUUGAGUGCAGAAAGUGUUCUAGAGGCUCAGACAUAACCUCACCUCUAGAGUUUGAUAGCAGGUCUUGAUCCAAGGGCGAGCACUCCGUCUCCAGGCUGCCAUGAGUCAUCUUAUUUGUUCUUGUUCAUCUUUCGGACAUUGAAAUAUUCUUUAUUUACUUUAUUUUUGGAUAUCUCUUUAGACAUGAUCUUUAUUAGUAUUUCUUGUACGAUGACUUUCGGGUCUUGAAAAUUUUAGUAAGUAGUUUGUUUGACUCCCGCAUUAAUAAUGAUUAGUCUUGGAUUAUUGUUAUUAUGUUGAUUUUAUAAUAAUAUCAUCUUAAUAUUGACUAAGUGAUUGGAAAAUGGUUCAAUUUAGAUGAUUCUCCCACUGGAAGAUUAGUGUGGGUGCCACUCAUGGCCAUUUGGGUCGUGACAUCAGAAUUUCAAUAUUUUUUCUAAUUUAAGAAUUGAAAAUUAAUUAAACAUAUUUACGGUAAAACCUUUUUUUAUUAGAAGUCAUCAAAAUUAAUGACAACUGAUACUUUUUUCAUUAGUUUAAGAGUUCUAAAUCAACUAAAUUUCUUUAAUAUAUUAAAAGUGUGAAGGGUCUUAGAAAUUAUUUGAACUUUUUGCCCUUCAUUAAAAGUCCUUGCUUUAGACAAAAUCGUCUUUUCACUAUUUUUUCCAAAUAUUUAAAAAUUGAAAAUUAAUUAAAUAUAUUUAUGGUAAAAUCUUUCCUUAUUAGAAUUAAUUAGAAUUUCAAUAUUUUUUUCCUAAUUUAAGAGUUGAAAAUUAAUUAAAUAUAUUUAUGGCAAAAUCUUUCCUUAUUAGAAAUCAUCAAAAUUAAUGAUAACUGAUACUUUUUUCAUUAGUUUAAGAAUUUUUUUUAAAAAAUCUUCAAAUGAAUAUAAAACUAUUAGAAUAAAAAAAAUUAAGAAGUACCGGAUUUUUAAAAGUUUUAAGUAUGUAAUAAGAAUGUAAUCAAUGAUUUUAUAAAGAUUUGACUUUAAAAAGAAGGAAAGAUUUUUAAUAUUAAAAAGAAAAAAUUGUAACACAAAUAUAGUUCAAACUGAUGGGUCUCUCUUAGCCUGUGGCAACAAGGGAAAGAAGUAUUAUAUGACAAACGCAAAAGUGAUGAUUCAUCAACUACUUGGAACUUUUGGUGGUAAAACAUAUAUGUGUAUAUGUUUAUGUUUACAAAGCGUGAAAGAUUUUUGAAAAGUGAUUUGAACUUUUAUACUUUAUUAAAAAUCUCUGUAAUGGAUAAAAUUCAUUGAUUUUAAAUAAUCAAACAUUACAUACGAGACACGUGUGGUUAAACUAGUAUAUGAAAAUGUACAAAAUGGUGUCUUUUUAUAGCCCACCAAAUCCCUAAGCAUGCUAAGCUUGACGUCAAGUUGAUAAUUUGGUCAACUAUCUUUGAUAUUUAAAUUCAAAUUGAACAAGUAAUUUCGACCUUCAAAUCCAACUUGAAUAAGUAACUCUAGAUGUUCAAAUUCAAUUUAGCUACUAACUAUUAUCUCUCAUUAGUGACACUUCAUACAUACAUAUGUCACAUGUCAUCCCUAUUAUAUAACAAUAAACUAAUAAACUACAAAAAUCAUACUUCCAAUGUGAGUUUCCAUUAAAGAUUUUCUAUUUUACAAUUUUAAUUAAUUAAAAUUUGGUAAAUAAGUUAAGGAAAUCAUACGUGGUCACUUUUGAUAGUAGGAUAAAAAACUAUAUAAGUGAUAGUUAAGUGAUUGUUUUGAAUUUACCACCAAAGACAAUUUUGUUGUCAUUUUGCCAUUUUGUCAUAACUUGAACUACCUAUUUGGUUGAUGGUUAAUGUUAAGGAGGAAUUAAUUAUUUAUGUAUUAGGCAUAAUAUAUAAAUAUACUUUUUAACUUAUUGUUAAAUUAUAUUUAUGACCUUCAAUUUUGGGCAUGCAUAAGUAGAGAAAUUUGAAGGAAAUGUGUCUUUUAAGUCUUGAAUGAAGGAUUGGUGACAUUGACCAACAGAUAGGGUCAAACAUCAUUAAGAAACUUGAUUAAAUUAAUUGUGAACUUGAUUAAUAUUUUAAAAACUUUUUAAUCUUUUCAAAAAUACAAAUCAACCCAACCCACACCCCUCUUUAAUCCAAAUCAACCACUCUCUCCUCUCUCUCCAUCUUCUCUCAAAUCUCUCCCAACCAACAGUUCUACAAAAUUUCUCCCUUCAACCCCCGACGAAUUCUAUCUCCGGCGACAAAUAGUUGGGCUUUGAGUUCCCCUCUUUUCUCCCUUCAACCCCCGGUGACUUCUACCUCCGGCGAUAAAUAAUUGGGCUUCGAGUUCCCCUCUUCAAUUCAAUUAACCUGUCUCUUAUCUCUCUCUCGACAGCUUCUCUCAACUCUCUCCCAACCAACUGUUCUGCAAAUUUCUCAUUUCAAUUCUCGGUGACUUCAACAUCCGACUACAAAUAGUUGGGCUUCGAGUUCCUUUUCGACUUCAACCUUUAAUUGACAUGACAACCUUGCUCUCCGGCCACAACAACUUUGAAUUCUUCAUCGUUCCUUUUCUUCUUUUACAGGUAAAAAUUUAUGGCCUUUUUAGUUUUGAAGAAAACAAGAAAUUUGAGCCAACUUCUCUUAUAGUAUUGGUUAACAAUUUCAAUAUUUGUUGCACUAAUCUAAACUACGAUCUGAAAUGGCCUUUUUAUUGUUUGUGUGUAUAAAAAUAAAAUGAUAAUUUGGUUUGAUUUGUUCUGUUCUUGUUCUUGGUAAAAAUAGUGAAAUUGCUGUUUUUUGUUAAACAAAAUCGUGCUACUAUUUUUUGUUUCCUUCGACAGAUUACCCAUCUGGUGCAACCUAUUAACUAUCUGAUGCAAUAAAUUUAUUAUAUGAUGCAUCAAAUCAACCAUCUGAUGCACCAGAGGAACUAUCAGAUUACAAUUCUGAUACAACGAUUACUAAUCUGAUGCAACAGAUUAACUAUCUGAUGCAACAGCUUUACCAUAUGUUGCAACAGAUUAAGCAUCGGAUAAAAAAUAUGAGGCAACUAAUUAACCAUCUGGUGCAAUGGAAGAACCAUAAGAUUAAUGAUCUAAUGCAACAGAUAAACCUUCUGUUGGAUAAAAUCUCAUCAACUCUUCCUACAGGAAACGUCCAAGACUUGAUUUUUCCAACUAAUCAUUCAUCUGCCGCGAUAGACGACCCUAUGUUGGAAAAAAUCUAAAUAAUAUUUACUGUUGAUAACUGUUCCAACAGAUCACUCAUGUGUUGCAACAGAUGUGUGACCUGUUGCACAGAUCAUUUAUUUUUUUCAAUAGAUGAGUGAUAUGUUUUGUAUUGACACAACAGAUUACUUAGCCGUUGCUGCAGGUUAGUUAACUACUCUGACAGAUCACUCAUAUAUUACAACAGAUGUGUGAUCUGCUGUACAAACCAUUUAUUUUUCUCAACAGAUGAGUGAUAUGUUUUGUAUUAUCACAAUAGAUUAUUUAACUAUUCCAAUAUAUCACUCAUAUGUUACAACAGAUAAUGUCACAAUAGUUGUGUGAUCUGUUGAACAGACUAUUCAUCUGUCUUAAAAGAUGAGUGAUAUGUUUUGUAUUAUUGCAACAGAUUACUCAUCCGCUGCAACAGUUUGGUUAUAUGCUGCAACAGAUAUACUACCUGGUGCAACAGAUUAGUAAUCUGUUGUAACUGUUAUUUUACUAUUUUGUUUGUUUGAUUUACUGUUAUCCCUUUUUAACGAUGCAUUAAUCAACAAUAAUAUAUUAUUUUAUGUUUCUGCAAAUUUUAGAUAAUAUGGUUCCCAAAAGAACAGAAACCAAAUCAAGUCUAAGUAAAUGAACAAGUGAAGCAGCUAGGCUACAUCCACCACUCUAUGAGCUUGCUUUACAAGCGUUAUCUCAAUUGGGAGCAAAAUAUCAUGAACACGUGGAGGAGGAAUGUUUCAAAAGAGAUGAUGCAGAUGCUAAUAGCCCUUUCACCGAAGAGAUGGUCAAAGCCUUCAGCAUUGAUCGUUAUCCUGUGAGAAUGCAAUGCGAUGGUGCCGCAGAUUUAAUGGGUGAUUUCGUGGUUAAGUCAGCCAUGGGAAAAUAUUUCGACACCUUCAGAAAAAUACUUCGAGAAUAAAAAUUGGAUGCUUAUUUUAGGGACAGCUGCUUUGGAAAAUAUCUUGAUUUGCCGGAGAACAACAAUGCUCGUUUCCAAAUGAAAAUGAUAUAUGAACUACUCAAGCGUAGGUUUAUGUAUGAAAACAAAGAUAAUAUGGAUGAGGUGUGGAUAGAUUACUGUGGCAUGCCUGUUUGUUUUGGUUGGGAGGAGUUUGCCAUGGUUACUGGACUAAAAUGUUAUCCUCCUUCUCAAGUUAUACCUAUUCUUACCCCAAAAAAAACACCCUGCACACCCAAAAAAGGCAAAGACAAGUCGUGUGAUCGUGAUGACCUGGUGUCCAAUGUUGGUCCAAGAUUCAAUAAUAAAAAUUUGAUAGAAGCGUUGAAAGGUAAAGGACUUUCAAUGAAUCACAAGCAGUCAUUGUGCUUGGUUUGGUUUGUACAUAAUAUUCUUUGGGCGAGAGACAUUAACAACAACAUAAACCUCUGUUUAAUAAAGCUCUCCGAGGAUCUUGAUGCGUUUAACAACUAUCCUUGGGGGUAUGAAAGCUUCAAAAUGACUGUGAAAUAUUUGUUGACUCCAUUAGCACCAAAGACAGUCAACUUAUAUGGCUUCCCAUGGGCUUUCAUGGUAAAUGUUUCUUUCUUCUAUUAUGAUAUCAUUCAUUUUUUUCCUCAAUAAUGGUUUUGAUUUAUUGGCGUUAUUUUAUUGGCUUGGGCAUUUGAAGCUAUUCCUUAUUUGAGACAACAAGUGAACUACCAGGAAGGAGUUUCUUGUCCAAGAAUCUUGAGAUGGUUGUCGGCCAAAACUGACAAAAGUACAAAAUUUCUUGAUCUCUUCAACCCCCCGAAGGAUGCAGUAAGUAUAAUUAUAAUUAAUUUUUUCUUUUAAUUAAUGAUUUUUUUGAAUGAUCUAAUCAUCAUUCUAAUAUAUGUAAUGAUUUAUGUUAGAUUGUGCAUCCGUCGUUAGUUCCGACCAAUCGAGAGUUGAAUAUGCCAUUUUUUCUUACUUUACGGUAUGUGUAAACUUUAUCAGAUCCUAAGGUCAUCGACAGAAUAAAAAUGGAAUUGUUUGGAGCAACAACUAUUACAAGAAAAAUAAUUUUAGAGGAUGGGCUUGUUGUUGUUAUUGUUGAUGGUCUUAGUGGUGAUGGAGCUAUUGGUGGUGGUAGUGGUGCUGCUAUUGGUGAUAAUGAUGCUACUCUUACAGUAUUUAAAGCAAACCAUUAUGAGUAUGAUCAUACUGGUUAUAUAGAUUUUGCCUCUCUCAGCGAAUGUUCUGCAUGCAAAUGUCAAGACUGCAGGGUGAAAAUUGAUGUAGUGCUUAAUUCUAUUAAUGCAUUAAAUGCUUCUGUAAAGGAAUUGGCAUCUAAGAGAGGCCUCAUUCCAUCAAAGAGGAUUUUAUUUCCAUCCGCUCCAUUAGAGAUUAGGGCUAAGAGGAGGAGAGUGAUUUCCAGGGCAUUAUCAAGUAUCCAAAAAAGCAAAAUUGCAACUCCUCUGUCUGUGUGUUGUACUGAGCAACAUACAAUGUCCAAAGGAGAGCAGCAUGAGAUGAAGAAGGUGAAUAUAUUAUAUGUCUUCCAACUGACAAAACAAAUAGACACAUAUCUGUUUCAACAGAUGACACAUCUGCUAAAAAUUAUCAAAUAAAUAUAUACAUCUGUUGCAACAGUUGACUAACCUGUUGCCCCAGAUACUUUAUCUGGUGCAACAUAUGUCUCGUCUAUUUUAGCAAAUCAAACAUCUCUUCGUACCGCUUUUAUUUAUACCAACAGACGACCUAUAUGCUGCAACAGAUGAUUCAUAUGCUGCAACGGAUGGUUCAUACAUUUGAAAUUAUCACACAGGGUCUUCCUCAUGUAGAGAUUUAUCCCAACAGUUGAUUCAUUGUUGCAAUAAAAAUAUAAUCUGCUUGGAACAAUUUAAAAUCAGAGGAAGACCUGUUUGAUUUGCUAGAAGAGAUGAGUUAUCCUUUUCUGUUUUGUUGUAUCUCCGUGAUUAGCAUUGAUCAAUUCGGGCUUUCCAAGUGGAUGUAGAAGAAGCUACUGCUGAACAAUAUUGACAAUAUGCUACUCUUUUUAUGGAAAUACGGAAAAUAGAAAGUACAGAAUCCGUACGUAAGCGAUAAUAAAGAUCCACGACGAGCAAAGCCGAAUUUUAUAGCACCGGAUGAAAAACAACUUUCCGAUACUGAGUAGAUCUUUAUAGCUUGAGCUUGUCAAAUCAAAGCAAUCUUUGGCAAUAUACUUAAAUUGUUGUUGAUAUAUUUGUUGAGAUCUAUACCCAUAAUAAUUUUUUUACAUUUCAUUUAUUCGUUGACUUAUUUCAGCUAAUUUAUGAAGGGUUCGAUUUAUUUUAUUUUGUCUACGAAUUUUAUUUAUUCCUUUGAUUUGAACUUAUUAAUUGAAAAGAAAUACUAGAUUUAAAUAUUGCAACAGAUAAUGUAUCUGUUGGAACAGACGACACAUCUAUUGGAAAAAUCAAACAAAUUUAGACAUAUGUCGCAACAGGCAGGUGAUCUAUUGGAAUUUAUCAAGCGGGUCUUUCUACUAUUGCAACAGAUGGACUUUAGAUAAAAACAUCGAGAUAAUGCAACAGAUGGCCAACCUAUUGCAACAGAUAAACUAUAUGUUAGAACAGGUAGGAUAACUGUUAUAACGAAUGGAGAAUCUAUUGCAUUAUAAAAAUUUAACUUUCGUUGGACAUAAAAAAUUACCACUACGUGUAAAAAGGUUAAAGUGAAUUAAAUUGAAAUAAAAAAGGCGCAACCCAUUGACGGUGUUCAGUUCAAGCACCUAAAAUAAGAUAGGCAUCAAGUAGACAAUGUUCAUUUUAAACACGUAAAAUAAAAUAGUCAUCAAAUGUGCCAGAUGUGUCAGUGUCAGUCUGACACAUUUUGCUGACUUGCCGUCACUUGGCCUCGAACGGUCAAUUCCCCCCAUUGUCUUAUAUAUUCAUCUUCCUCCUAAAAUUUAACCCUAGAUUCCUAAAUCUUCUUCUUCAUCGUCAUUUUCUUUUAUCUAUUCAAAUUAUUUCUUUCUCUUUUUCUAACUGAGCUUGACAAUAUCGCAUCUUCCACUGUUUUUUGUGAUAAAGAUUUUUGAUAUUCUAAGUGCGGUCAUGAAGCUCUGUUAAAGACUUCUCGGACUCAACAAAAUCCGGUUCGUAGAUGUUUUACUUGUAAGAUUUCAAAUGUAAUAUUUUUUUAUUUAAUUAAUUGAUUAAUUAUUGACUUGUAAUUAUUUUGUAAUUGUGUUCUUUUUUUUAUAUAGAAAUUGGGUGGAUGCGAUUACUUUGAUUGGUAUGAAUAACGAAACCUUUUACAAGCAAAUCGUGUAAUCUGGGGUUGUUGAAUAAAGUCAAGGCUUCUGAAGAGAAACAAAAUCGAGCAAGAAGAUACUGCAUUGUUGCCGUUAUUGCUACUGGUUUGGUGUUAUUGGGCACAUGGAUAUUCAAGCCUAAUUGCUGAAAUUGUCAUGGUGGUGUGUAUAUUUACUACUGGUUUGAUGUUGUCGAGCACAUGAAUAUUCAAGCGUAACUAUUGAAAAAUAUCAAAAAGAUUUAGGCAUAUGUUGUAAAAUUUAGGUCAUCUGUUAGAAAUUAUCAAACAGGUCUUCCCACUGUUGCAACAGAUUAGACUUAGAUUAUUAGAUUAUUCAUAGAAAUAACAUCACCAUAAUACAACAGAUGACCAACCUAUUCCAACAGAUAAACUAUCUGCCAGAACGGAUUAAAGAUAUUUUACAACAAAUUUACAGUCUAAUCUAUUGCAUUAUAAAAAACUCAACUUUCAUCAGAAAAAAAUUAUUGCCACUACAUGUACAUGUAAUAAAGUGAAGGGUGACUUGAAAUUAAAAAUUUCUAUUUCACAGGCUCUUCUAUAUGCACAGGCUUCAAGCGUCCAGUUAGUACCCCAUAAGCCCAGACCUCUUGCAGGUUUGCCAUCGCACAACAAAGUCAUUGGCUCAUCCAUUUCUGUGCCAAUCAGCAAAUAUUCGAUGUGUGCUAAAGCGUGCGAGCCGCUCGCUUUAGUGACAUCAUCUUUUGGAAGGAUCAUUCCCCUGUUUCGACCUUCAAAAUCCCAUGAUUUCUUCAUCAACACUUUCUUUGGCAAAUGAUUCAUCAGUUUACUCUCCCUCAAUAAGAUGGGCAACAGCACCAUCAGUGGCUCCAUGAGGAAAAAAAGAUCGAAAUUGUCGACGAGAGGUUUUGAGUCAUAAACAUUGAUCUUUCCCUCCUCAAGUAGUAUCUCAACAGCUCAAUAAUACAUUCCGUUCACGCUAAUGACUGCAAGAAUCCUUUUUCCCUCGGUCAGCUUUUGCCGUGUGGAUUUGGCCUGUCCCCUCUAACAUAUCUUAACGUUUCUUCUUCAUCCAAGAUCAACGUAGGAACUAGAAAAUCAAGUCCCACGCCAAGGGCUAAUGCCUCUCCAUUGAGUUGAUCGUACCUAUCCUUGAGCUUCUUGCAGAAGUUGAGGUCCAUUAUCCUAUCGACAGCGUCAUAACCUUCUCGGUACGUUAAUUUCCUUUUUCUCAUGAGGCAGACAAUUAUGUCAACAUGCUGUGAGAUAAGAAUUUAAUUUUUAAAUAGGUUAGUAAUUGUAAAGAUGCAAUAGAUGGUUUAUUUGUUGCAUAGGGUUCUAUGAAUUAAUAAUCCAACGCAACUUAUGCAACAGAUGGAUAAUAAGUUGCAACAGAACCACUACCAGUUGCACCAGUAUACCCAGCUGUUGCAACAGAUGUGAAAUCUGUUGCGUAGCUUCUUCUUCUUGGGGUAGAAUAUAAGGGCUAGGUUAGGAAAAGUAAACUUGCCUUGUCCUCGUAGGGCAUACGCAUAUCAGUCAUAGUCUGAAAGUAUUGGGGGAAAAAGGGAGGCCUGGGGUAAUUUGGUGUGCCUAGCUUGGCAUUCUUGGCCUGUCGCAGAUCCCUCUUCUCUUCGGUGCCAUGUUCUGCGUAUUUGUCCACUUUUUUGACUGGCCCCUUAACUUCAACAACUUUUGGAGAGGAAGGAAUUAUAAUUUCUUUUGAUUUUCGAGUGGAGAGUACAUCUCUAAUUGCUCUUUUCUUUCUCGUAACCAAUGCUGUAGAAGUGUGUGGCUCACUCACCUUCUUGGAUGGUAUGACACAUCUCUUGGAGUUGAAUUCCUCGAUAGCUUUAGAGAUAGCCUCUACUUUUUAAAGAGUUUAUCCUGUCUGUACUUGCACUCAUUGCAUUCCCAACGAGAACACGAAGGUGAAGAGGGGUGAGAGGGACCUGUGUAAGGGCGAAAAAGAGUGUUUUCAAACAUAUUUAUUCUUUCUUAAGUAUCAACAUGAUCAUCAUCAUGAGUGGUAGCAACAUCAACAUCCUGCCACCAACACCAACAACUCCACCAGAAGAAGCACUUAGAUCUGCCUUGGUAAAAGGUUGGUCAUGAAGAGCCUCAACAUUAGGCUGACCUUGCCUAACUGCUUUUCUUAUGGUUGUAGCUCCAGCCAAUUCAUUCUUUAUUAGCUCCACCAUUGGGUCUGCUAGAGUAAUAUAAGAAGUCAUCACCGACUCCUCCUCAGUAGGCACGAUCCAUGGAUGCACAACCUUUAAAAAAGAAAAAAAAAUAGAUGCAUUUAAAUUAUAUAAUAUAAUAAUUUUCAUAGUUGGGCUAUGUUUUAAAAAAAAGACCCAUCUGUUGCAUAGUUUGCAGUAUAUGGUUAAAAUUCGUUUGAGUCUGGUUCAGAGAAACAAAGCAAUACAUGGAUAAUCUGAUACAAAAUAUCAAUCAUCUAUUGUAACAAUUGCACAAGACGGGUAAUCUGUUAUGCAACAGAUGAUCUGUACGUCGCAACAGAUGAACAAUAUGUUAUCAGAUUAAAGAUAUGUUGAAUAAUUUACAGUAGAUGGUUAAUCUUUUAGGAGUGGAGUUCAGAGAACCAAAUUAACAGAUGGGUAAUCUGAUGCAAGAUAUACCCUGUCGCAACAGAUGUCCCAUCUGGUGCAUCAGAUAUGACAUUUGUUGCACCAGAUAUAAAUCUAUUCAAUAUCUUUCUUUUCUUUGAGUAGAAUUAUUUUACUUGAAGAAGACGUACUGCAUCAUCCGGAGGGUUAAAGAGAUCAGCCUCCUUAAUAUUGGUGUUGCUCUUUACAGCCAACUAAUUAAACAUCCUUGGAUGAGAAACCUCAUCCGGGUAAUCCAUUAACUGCUUUCGGAGGGGAGGAAUGGCUUCAAAUGCCCAAGCUUAAGAAAUGUAAAUAGGAAGCAAGCAAAAAAAAUCAUAAUAACUAUAUUCAAUAUAAAUUAAUGGAUGAUUAAAAUUAGUGAUUAAUUUUACCAUGAAAGCCCAAGGAAAGACAUCUAAUGUGGUCAUCCCUGAGGAUAGCUUUGUCAGUAAAUAUUGGAUAGUCAAGUAUAAUCUGUCAUAUCCCCAGGGAUAAUUGUUGAAUUUAUCAAAAUCCUCAACACGCACCAACAAAUCAUCUUCUAUGACCUUGUUGACGUCUCUUGCCAAUAUAACCGAAUGGUCAAACCUAACUAAGCACAAUUUCUCCCUGUACUGCUCUGGUAUGGUUUUAUCCUCGAGUUCUGUCAACAAAUUCAAUGCUUUGUAGCCACGUUGAGCAAUGUCAAACAACCCAUCUAUUUUUUCCUUGCAUUUUUUUGCGUUGGAUCUUUUGCGGGGUGGUCGUCCUUUUGGAUGAUGGCAUCUCAAGCACGUCACUGUGGUAAACUCUUGCAAGCUAAAACAAACAGGCAAGCCAUAGUAGUUGAUCCAGAUUUCAUCCAUCUUCUUUUUGCCCCCCUCCUCCGGAUGUUUAUCAUCCCUCGCGUACUUGAUCCUGCGCUUGAGAAGACCAUAUACCAUCAUCAUAGGGAAAUGGAUACGGGCAGAUGGGUCCUCAAGCAGCUUGAUAAAGCAUCCAAAAUAGCUCUUCUUAAAAAGUCUACCUAUGUUUUCGUUCUUCAUAAUUUUCAUAAAAUGUUCAAAAAUUUUCCCCAUGUUUUCACAUCUCUCCUCAGCUUCACUUUUUCUUGACUGAGAUUGUUUUGGAAGCUCCUCCGAAUCCCUCUGUACUGUAGCCUGUUUUUAGUGGUCAGACGUUGAUCCACUUUCACUUUCUUUUCUUUUGGGUGACAUGUUUUACCUACAGAGAAAGAAAAAUAAAAAUUAUAUUACAGUUGAUGUAUGCAUAGAUUUUAAAAAAUAUAUUACAAACACCACGAAUACCGACACACCAACAACCACCACCACAAACACCACCAACCAAUGCUAACAAACAAAUAAACACUACGAAUACCGACACCGCCACAAACACCACCAACCAAUGCCACCACCGGUGCCACUACGACGAUAAUAAACACCACCACUACCACCACUACCAACACCACAAACACCAUCACAGUCAACGAAACACUGGGAUGGAAACUAGGGAUUUCUCGAGUUCUUCCUAUGAUUUUACCAUCAAAACUCAAAAUUGUAAACCCAUUCUCGAAGAUAAUACAACUAAAAUUUUUAUUUUUCAUUAUUAACUUAAAAGCCCUUAUUUUUGAGAAAAAAAACAAAUAUAGAGCUCUUCUCAAACUAUGUUGCCUAUGAAGACAAAGAAAAUGACUGAUACAAGCAAGAAUAAAGUCAAAAAUAAUACCUAUAUGGUCGGAAAUGAGAAGAAAACGACUUGCUGUGGGGGGUUGAGCAAAUUUAUUGAGUGGUUUUUGCCUGUACUGUAUUGUUGAGUGAGAAUGAGAGAGAAAGAGCCAAACCUCAAGACUUAAAAUGAUGAAACAUUUUGUAUGGGUUGAUUUGUAUUUUGGAAUAGAAUGACAAGUAGUUUUGAAAAUGUUAAUUUGGUCCAAAAUGAUCUUAAUUAUUUUUAAAAUCAUAAAAUAUAUGCGUAAUUUUUAACCCUCUCAUCAUGUAAUUGCCAAAAGGGUAAUUUAAUUGAAAUUGUAUAAAAACAAUUGAAGUUGUAGUUGAUCGAGUACUCUAGGAGGUGACCCUGUAAAAACUCACCCCUGGUCCUAGAUUAAUCAAUUUAGAUACUAUUAGUCUAACAUACGAACUCAAUUGAAAUCGUAAAAAAUAAAUGUUCAACAUGUUGUGUCAGAUUUCUCAUAUGUUGUAAAUUAUCAAUCAGAUUAGGUAACAACAGAUUAUGAAUCUGAUGUAAAUUAUCAAACAGAUUAAGUCAUCUGUUGCUACAGAUUACCCAUCUAUUGUAAAUUAUCAAAUGGAUUAUCAUAUGUCACAACAGAUUACCCAUAUGUUGUAAAUUAUCAAAUAAGUGCUGCCAUCUAUUGUGGUUGACCCUAUGAGAACUCACCCCUAGUCCUAGAUUAAUCGAUAGUUUACCCUAUGAGAACUCACCCCUAGUCCUAGAUUAUUCAAUUAAGGUAUUACUACCCUAGUCCUAGAUUAAUUAAUUAAGGUAUUAGUCUAACAUAUGAGGUAAUGAGAAUUGGCUCGGCUCAGAGUGAUCGAUCAACGACUCUGUUGGGAGGAACGCAGUACUGUCUCAUUAUACAAUUGACAAAAGACUCAAUUGAAGUUGUAGUUGACCCUAUGAGAACUCACCUCUAGCCCAGGACUAUUUAAUUAAGGUAUUAGUACCCUAGUCCUAAAUUAAUCAAUUAAGAUAUUAGUCUAACAUAUGAGGUAGUAAGAAUCGAUUCAGCUCAGAGUGAUUGAUCGACAACUCUGUCGGGAGAAACGCAGUACCAUCUCAUUAUGCAAUUAUCAAAAGACUUAAUUGAAAUUGUAGUUAACCCUAUGAGAACUCACCACUAGUCCCAGACUAUUCAAUUAAGGUAUUAGUACCCUAGUCCUAGAUUAAUCAAUUAAGGUAUUAGUCUAAAAUAUGAGGAAGUAAGAAUCAGUUCGGCUCAGAGUGAUCGAUCGACAACUCUGUCGGGAGAAACACAGUACCAUCUUAUUAUGCAAUUGAUAAAAGACUCAAUUAAAGUUGUACUUGACCCUAUGAUAACUCACCUCUAGCCUAAGACUAUUCAAUUAAGGUAUUAGUACCCUAGUCCUAAAUUAAUCAAUUAAGGUAUUAGUCUAACAUAUGAGGUAGUAAGAAUUGAUUUGGCUCAGAGUGAUCGAUUGACGACUCUAUAGGGAGAAAUGCAGGACCAUCUCAUUAUGCAAUUACCAAAAGACUCAAUUGAAGUUUUAGUUGACCCUAUGAGAACUCACCCCUAGUCCCAGACUAUUCAAUUAAGGUAUUAGUACCCUAGUCCUAGAUUAAUCAAUUAAGGUAUUAGUCUAAUAUAUGAGGUAGUAAGAAUCAGUCCGGCUUAGAAGGAUCGAUCGACGACUCUAUCGGGAGGAAUGCAGUACCGUCUCAUUAUACAAUUGCCAAAAGAUUCAAUUAAUGUUGUAGUUAACCCUAUGAAAAUUCAUCCCUAGUCCUAGACUAUUCAAUUAAGGUAUUAGUACCCUAGUCCUAUAUAAUCAAUUAAGGUAUUAGUCUAACAUAUGAGGUAGUAAGAAUCGGUUUGGAUCAGAGUGAUCGAUCGCCGACUCUGGUCGGGAGAAACGUAGUACCGUCUUAUCAUGCAAUUGCCAAAAGACUAAAUUGAAGUUGUAUUUGACCCUAUGAGAACUCACAUUCAAUUAAGGUAUUAGUAUUACAUAUGAACUUAAUUGAAUUAUAUAUAAACAAAUAUUCAACCUAUUGCAACAGAUGUCUUUUCUGUUGGAUCAAAUCAAACAGAUUAUGUAAUCUGUUGUAACAUAUUAUCCAUCUGUUCUAAGCUAUCAAAUAGAUUAAGUCAUUGGUUGUGACAGAUUAUGAAUCUAUUGUAAACUAUCAAACAGAUUAAGUCAUCUGUUGCGACAGAUUACCCAUCUAUUUUAAAUUAUCAAAUAAGCGCUGUCAUCUAUUAUAGUUGACAUUAUGAGAACUCACCCCUAGUCCUAGAUUAAUCAAUUAAGGUAUUAGUUGAACACAUGAGGUAGUAAGAAUCGGUUUGGCUCAGAGUGAUCGAUCGACGACUCUUGUCGGGAGAAACGCAGUCCCAUCUCAUCAUGCAUUUUCCAAAAGGCUCAAUUAAAGUUGUAGUUGACCCUAUGACAACUCACCCCUAGUACCAGAUUAUUCAAUUAAGGUAUUAGUUGAACAUACGAGGUAGUAAGAGUCGGUUCAUCUUAGAGUGAUCGAUCGAUGACUUUUGUCGGGAGAAAUGCAGUACCUUCUCAUCAUGCAAUUGCCAAAAAACUCAAUUGAAGUUAUAUUUGACCCUUUGUGCUCAUUCAUCCAUCCCUAAUUCCACCUAGAUCAAUGUAGGUACUAUUAUUAAUCUUAACAUUAAAUUAAUGAGAACACAUUUCAACUCAGAGUGAUUGAUCGAUCGGGAUGAACACAAUACUAACACCAUGCAAAUGCAAUGACUCAAUUGGAUUUGUAGUUGACCCUGUGAGCUUAUUCAUUCAUCCCUCGUUCCACCUAGAUCGAUGUAGGUACUAUUAUUAAUCUUAACAUUAAGUUAAUGAGGAGCUCAUUCUUUCAUCCCUAGUUCAUCCUAUAUCAAUUGCAAUGAAAUCUAUAGCAACAAAUAACUGAGCUGUUGGAGAAUUUCAAAUAGAUAGCAAUUUCUGUUGCAAUAGAUGACAUUUCUUAUUUAAUUAUCAAAUAGACAUUUGCAUCUGUUAUGACGGAUGACUAAGCUGUUGAAAAUUUUCAAACAGAUAUUAAUAUCUGUUGUAACAGAUGACGUUUCUGAUUUAGUUAUCAAAUGACAUUUUCAUCUGUUGUCACAGAUGACUGAGCUGUUGGGAUUUCUCAAACAGAUAUCUAANNNNNNNNNNNNNNNNNNNNNNNNNNNNNNNNNNNNNNNNNNNNNNNNNNNNNNNNNNNNNNNNNNNNNNNNNNNNNNNNNNNNNNNNNNNNNNNNNNNNNNNNNNNNNNNNNNNNNNNNNNNNNNNNNNNNNNNNNNNNNNNNNNNNNNNNNNNNNNNNNNNNNNNNNNNNNNNNNNNNNNNNNNNNNNNNNNNNNNNNNNNNNNNNNNNNNNNNNNNNNNNNNNNNNNNNNNNNNNNNNNNNNNNNNNNNNNNNNNNNNNNNNNNNNUUUAGUCAUUUAAUAUUAAGGGUAGUAUAUCUAGAAAUUAGAAUUAUCUCAUUUCUCCUCUCCUCUCCUUCAGCCUUAAAUCUCUCAUCUUUUUUCUUUCCAUCCUCUUUAGGGUUAUCACAACCUUUUUUUUCUCUUCUCUUUCUCAAAAAUUUUCGUUUAGAUCUAAACCGAUCGAUAUCCAUAUCUUAGAUUCCUCGACUGAAAUAGCUGUUUUGACCCCCUUUUGACAUUAAGAUAUGAUAUGAUUCACUAUUGCUCUUUCAUUCUCGUUUUCUUCUUGCAACUUUAUUUAAAUCUUUUUAUUUAUUUAAUUACCAUUUUCCCAUAUCAUAUUUAUUUAAAAAAUUUGAAGGAACUUUUAAUUGUUGAAUAAACAUACCGAGAAUUUUUUAUUAUAAGAUGUGAAAAAAGUCAUCUGUUAGGAGAAGUUUAAAAGCCUUGUUGGCAGUAUCAUUUUUUUUAUGUAUUUUAUUUGUUUCUUUGUUGUUGAUGCUGUUAUUGAUGUUGUUGGUGGGCUUGGCAUUGUUGGACUUGUGGUGUGGUGUGGUUUAGAGGUGGAUGCUUCUUAGCUUAAAAAUAGUGGAGUCCGAACAAUCAACAGAAGAAGUAAGAGAAAAAAAUAAAAAGUUUAAAGUGAAUAAGAAGAGAAGAGUUGGUUAACAAAAUUAAAAAAAUAUGUGCUGAGUGGGAAUUGAACUAAAGACCAAAAGAAAUAAAUAGCCUUAAGCACCCAUAAACAACAACUAAGCUAACCAAACAACUCUUAUUAUGGGUGCUCACUGAUUAGAUUAUAUACAUUUUUUCUUUAUUUCCACAUACAUAUAUAAAGUUCGAUACGAGCUCAGUCUGUGCUCGUGUACCCGGAGGACUUCAUGUGGGUCCAUCCCUUGUUGUUGAUGGUGUUAGAACAUAGGAUGUAUGCUUCUUUGUUGUUGAUGAUGUUGUUGGAACAAAUGUUGUUGUUUUCUUUGUUAUGAUGUUUUUUAUUUAUUGUUUCUAGUUUAUGUUGUUGUUGAUGUUGCAACAGACGGAGAAACUAAUAGAAAAAAAUCAAACCAUCAGCAAGGCUGCUAUGUAUUCCAACAGACUCCAUAGCUGUUGCAUCAGACUCCAUAUCUGACGCAACAGACUCCACAUCUGACGCAAACUAUUCGGGAUUUAAUGUAAUAUUGUUGAAACUAUCCGGAAUUUAUGUGUUACUUGAAUAAAACUGGUGACUUUAUUAAUAUGUAAAGUGAAAAAAAUGUAUCUAAAUACAACAUUUUAUCUUUUUUUUUGUAUUUCCGAAAGAGACAGAUUGGUAAUCUGUUGCAAAAUAUCUUUCACCUGUCAGAUAACUUACAACAUAUGGACAAUCUGUUGCAAAAAAUGGAUAUAUCAGUUUGUUUUUCCAUCAGCUAUGACGUCUAUUAGAACUUGCUAGUCAUCUGUUUAUUCAAUUUCACUGAGAGCAAUCGAUUUUUCUAAACACUUCUUGGCCAAAUUCAAUUUUUUUCCUCAAUCCAAUAGCAAAAAAGUAGUUUGAUUGAAGGAUGCAAAGAAAAAAAGAGAAGCAAUCCAAGAGCAAAAAUUGAAUUUGGCCAAGAAGUGUUUAGAAAAAUCGAUUGCUCUCAGUGAAAUUGAAUAAACAGAUGACUAGCAAAUUGCAACAGACACCACAGCUGAUGGAAAAGCAAACUGAUAUAUCCAUCUGUUGCAACAGAUUAUCCAUAUAUUGUAAGUUAUCUGACAGGUGGAAUAUAUUUUGCAACAGAUUACCAAUCUUUAUCUUUCAAAAAUACAACAAAAAGAUAAAAUGUUGUAUUUAGAUCCGUUUUUUUCUAAUUUACUUAUUAAUAAAGUCACCAGUUUUAUUUAAGUAACACUAACACACACAACACAUAAAUCUCGGAUAGUUUCAGCAAUAUUACAUUAAAUCUCGGAUAGUUUGCUAAUUACAUCUUAUCCCAAAAUUUUGAAUUGUGAUACAUAUGUUAAGCAGUGAUACAUAUAUGGACUAGUGAUACAUAUCUAUAUGUAUCACUAGUAUAUACAUAUGUACGGUAGUGAUACAUAUAGAAUCCGAGAUUUUAUGUAAUUUUUUAAGACAUUAAGGGAUAUUGUGUAAUAUGGUGUAUUAAAUAUGAAAUUUGUGUAAUUUUUUCUUUUAAGGGAUAUGAAUAGUUGUGGCUUUUUGUUUGACUAAGUCCAGUCCCUUUCAAUUCAAUUAUUUUAUAAAUAGGUCCCUCCGGCCUCCUCACUCACUCUCGUUCAUUCUACUAUACUUACAACACUAAUAUGUCAGAUCCAGAUUCGUACAAGAAGGUUCAUAUCGAGUCCNNNNNNNNNNNNNNNNNNNNNNNNNNNNNNNNNNNNNNNNNNNNNNNNNNNNNNNNNNNNNNNNNNNNNNNNNNNNNNNNNNNNNNNNNNNNNNNNNNNNNNNNNNNNNNNNNNNNNNNNNNNNNNNNNNNNNNNNNNNNNNNNNNNNNNNNNNNNNNNNNNNNNNNNNNNNNNNNNNNNNNNNNNNNNNNNNNNNNNNNNNNNNNNNNNNNNNNNNNNNNNNNNNNNNNNNNNNNNNNNNNNNNNNNNNNNNNNNNNNNNNNNNNNNNNNNNNNNNNNNNNNNNNNNNNNNNNNNNNNNNNNNNNNNNNNNNNNNNNNNNNNNNNNNNNNNNNNNNNNNNNNNNNNNNNNNNNNNNNNNNNNNNNNNNNNNNNNNNNNNNNNNNNNNNNNNNNNNNNNNNNNNNNNNNNNNNNNNNNNNNNNNNNNNNNNNNNNNNNNNNNNNNNNNNNNNNNNNNNNNNNNNNNNNNNNNNNNNNNNNNNNNNNNNNNNNNNNNNNNNNNNNNNNNNNNNNNNNNNNNNNNNNNNNNNNNNNNNNNNNNNNNNNNNNNNNNNNNNNNNNNNNNNNNNNNNNNNNNNNNNNNNNNNNNNNNNNNNNNNNNNNNNNNNNNNNNNNNNNNNNNNNNNNNNNNNNNNNNNNNNNNNNNNNNNNNNNNNNNNNNNNNNNNNNNNNNNNNNNNNNNNNNNNNNNNNNNNNNNNNNNNNNNNNNNNNNNNNNNNNNNNNNNNNNNNNNNNNNNNNNNNNNNNNNNNNNNNNNNNNNNNNNNNNNNNNNNNNNNNNNNNNNNNNNNNNNNNNNNNNNNNNNNNNNNNNNNNNNNNNNNNNNNNNNNNNNNNNNNNNNNNNNNNNNNNNNNNNNNNNNNNNNNNNNNNNNNNNNNNNNNNNNNNNNNNNNNNNNNNNNNNNNNNNNNNNNNNNAAGAUAAUUUAUUUUUUUUUAAAAAUAUAUAUAUUAUAUGUUGCAACAGAUAUAUUAUCUGAUGCAACAGGUUAUCUAUUUGUUGCAAAUCAUGAUAUAUAUGUUGUAACAGAUGAUUUAUCUAAUGCAACAGAUAUAUUAUUUGUUGUCUAAAACAGUGUAAAAAAAUGAUUCCUAGAAAGAACUAAUUAGCAAUAAUAAUAAAACUAAAAAGUCAUAACUUAUCAUAAUAUUGAUUAAUUAAUUAAGUCAUAACUUUUUACAGUAAUCAAGAAUAUCAUUAAUAAAUGGAGGUGAACAGUCGUGAUUUUUUGCCUAACUCAUUCAAGUGCAAUCCUCUAUAAAUAGGUCCUUCCUUACUCGAUCAUUCGUUCUACUACUCACUAUUUAUUCCUCGCUCUUAUUACACCUUCAACUACUUUCUCUUCAAGGACUUGAUAGCUUUUUCCUGUCUCUGGUAAGUUUUUUUCUUGAUUUUUGUGUAAAUAUACGUUGUAUUACAUUACAUUCGAAUUCUUUCUUUUCUUUACUUUUGUGUUUACGUGUGUGUUUUGUCAACUUAUGCGUUUUUUAGAUAUGGUUGAUCCUGUGUGGAAUGUCGCUAUUUUAUGAGACGCCAUGAGGGAACUGCAGAAGGAGGUUCAUGACCUGCAUGAGGAGUUGGCCGCCGUCAGAGUAAGGAUGCUGUGGGAGAUCCACAGGCUGCGGAGGGCGCUACUGCUGCCCUUUGAAGAUUGGCUGGCUGGCCAUACAAAUAAUAAUGAUGUUAAUAAUGAUGAUAAUAAUAAUUAAGCUUUCUUUUUCUAUUAUCUAUGUAUUUUUUUAUUUGUUUUAUAAAAAAUUAUGUUUGAUACACUUGACUUUUUAUUUCUUAUUUAAUUUUCGUGUUGUCUAUUUCUAUUUCUNNNNNNNNNNNNNNNNNNNNNNNNNNNNNNNNNNNNNNNNNNNNNNNNNNNNNNNNNNNNNNNNNNNNNNNNNNNNNNNNNNNNNNNNNNNNNNNNNNNNNNNNNNNNNNNNNNNNNNNNNNNNNNNNNNNNNNNNNNNNNNNNNNNNNNNNNNNNNNNNNNNNNNNNNNNNNNNNNNNNNNNNNNNNNNNNNNNNNNNNNNNNNNNNNNNNAAUUUUGUUGUUCGAAACAUAUUAGUAAUCUGAUGAAACAGAUUAUUUAUCUGUUGAAACAGAUUACUAAUCUGGUGCAACAGAAUACCCAUCUAUUCGAUUCAUAUUACGAGCACCUAAAAUCCUUAAACAUGAAUCCAUCCAACAUGAGUCUACUGUUACAGCAGAACAUUUAUCUAUUACCGCAGAUAAUGGAUCUGUUUAAACUGAUUGCUCUUGUAUUGCAUUCAUGUUCGCGUGCAAGCUAUUGUUGAAAAAAUAACACACUAGCAAUUAUCUAGAUUCAACUAAAAAGCAUAAUCUGACUUACCAAAGUCUCCUCUCAAGUAAAUUUCAAAGUUGAAAGUAAUUUACGAAAUAAAAUUUGACAUAAGAAUUUGGUCAAAGAGCAGCAGUUGGGGUAACAACAACAACAACAACAAUGGUCAACAAGAAGAAUAUGAAGAUAAUAAUGAAGUAUAAGAUGAUGAUAAUGAAUCAGAAGAUGAUGAAUAAAGCAACAACAACAAUGAACAACAAAUAUCGCGAAGAGUGAGAAAAUAACAAGGAAUGAGGAGAGAAAAAAAAGACGCCUUUUUUCCCUUCGUUCCCCCUUAUAUAUUAAUAACAUUUGGAUCAAAGUGUAAAUUUAAAAACUUGUGGGUUAUUUUAAAAUUUUCAAAACUUUCUUAAACCAUAAUUAAGUAAUUGUCACCUUUACUCAAUUAUUAAGACUUGCGUCACCUACACCUCAUUUUAAAACUCUUUUAUCACCUGUGGCCCAAACCUCCGGAUAAGUAGCCAUUUAAAUUUGUAUAAAAGUUGAACAAGUAGACACACACGUUCUAUGUGACAUAUUACAUGUAGGACGCCAUGUAGGACAAGAAUUGGUCACGUAGGACACCACAUAUGACAUAUGUGUCUAAUUUUUCAACUUUAUACAAGUUUAAGUGUCUACUUGUGCAAAUCCAAAGUUGGAGGUCAUAAAUAUGAUCUGAAGUCAAGUCAAAUGGUAUGUUUAUGUAUUUUGCCUAUGUAUUUAUUAUUUUAUUUUUUAUCCUACAUAAAAUAAUACUAUAUAGUUAUCUUAAUAUGUAUAUUUACACACACACAUACCUAUAUUAAUUACGCAGUAUUCUAAAAUAGCUACCAACCAACUGUAUUAAUGUGCUAAAUUUUAUGCGUAGAAAAAAAAAGGCAAACAUGAUAAAAUUUAUACAGAAUUUAACACACAAAUAAAUUCUUUCCUAAUCAAUAACCAAAUGUAGCAAAAGUAGUAUUUUUGAAAUUGUGGACUCUUACGGAGUUAAAUUGGUAAUUUAAUCCUCAUCAAAUAUGUGCAACUUUAUUUAAGAAAAAAGGGGGUAAAUAUAACCUCAAUUUUGUGUAAUUUGCAUUGAUCCAUUUGGUUGGCUCAGUACAUAAAUAUCUAUCUAUAUAUAUAAAAGAGACUAAGUAAUCUGCUGAUGUAACAUGUUUAGAAUGUCAAGAAAGAUAUUUAUCUUUUACCACAGCUUUUUGACUUUUUCCCUCCACAUUUUAUGUCAAUUUUUUUUUUUUGAUUCUUUCAAAAGAAAAAACAUAACGAUCACAUAAUAAGAAAUAGUUACAUUUUCUGCACAUUAACUCAAAAAUCACAAUUAUUUUAACCCUAGACAUAAAUAUACCAUGGUAUACAAUUUCAGUCCUUUACAGUUUACACUCAAUUAAAUAUAAUUAAUGCACUUAAUAUUCAUAUCUGUUAAAUUAUUUUUUGGUUUUAUCUUUUUAAUCCUUUUGAUUAGUAUAAAUAGUGAAAAAAAUCAUUUCUAACACAUAAACAUUCCUCAUUUUUUAUUCCACAUCGUCCUUCUCAAAUUUUCUUCAUUAUUUAUGAAAAAUUGAUCUUUUUAAUGAAUUUCUUUAUCUUUUCUUCUAUGUUUUCCUUUCUCUUUCAACUUCCAGUUUCUUAUAUAUUGACUUAGGAAAUAUUCAGCUAAUGUCAUUGGAGGUUGUCAUGAAGAUUGACAUUCGAGGAGAUCAUUAUCCAAAUAGUGUAAGCACAAUUUUUUCAAACCUCGAAUCUUGUUGCUUCAGAAUGAGUGAAGAGGAGAAGUAGUGCAACAACAAGAAAAGGGAAGAUGAACAUGCACUUGAAAAUGCCCAUUGGUAUUUCUUUAGUUUUUCUGAGGGUUUUAGUGUGAUGAUAAAGUAUUAUUACUUUGAUAGCUAUUUUAUAUCAGAGUUUGUCCAUGUAUUUUUGUUGAAAAGUAUCUGUAAAUAGGUUAUAACUUCUGUAAAUGCCACUCUCAAGUUUCUUUCCUACUCGCAUCCUUACACAUAUGUUCAUUUAUAAAAAUAAAAGCUUCCAGCUUAAUAUGUUUGUUAUGUAGGUUUACAUUGUUGAUUAAUUUAAUUAUAAUUUGAUGAUUUUUCGUUGUAAAUGUUUGUUCGUUUUCAUGGUUAAUGAGGUAACUUUCAUUUUUUUACUCUUGCAAAUAGGAUCUUGGACUUUUUAUUUUUAAUUUUAGACAAUUGCUUUAAGGGAAAGGCUAUGAGGCAAAUUAUCGUGUCUGAGUUUUCAUUUCAUAUUAUUUCUCUUUUUCCUAUUCUAAUCGUUUUGCAAGUUGUACUAUUUUAUGACAAUUCACAUGCUGCUUCUAUAUCUUAGGUAUUUAAAUCACAAAAUGACAUAUCAUAAACAUUUAUUUUACUCAUCACUUUAAGUGUAUAUUAUUUCUUUUAUGACUUCUGUACUUUAUUAUAUAUCAUAUCUCAUAACUUUAUAUAGAAAUAAUAUACAAACAAAAUGACUUACUAGCCACAAUAUAUUUCUGAAAAUGUAUUUAAAUGGAUAAAUGAAUGUGUUAGAUAUUUAGGUGGAUGGUGAUAAUUUAAAAAAUUAUUUCUUUCAAUGAAAUUAAUACCAGAGGAGUCAAGUUAAAUACAAAAUUAAGUGAUAAAAUGCAUUAGAAUUUAGAAUCUAACUUUUAUUUGGAUGAAGGUUGAAAAUAAUCUUUAAAAUAUAAUAAAAAAUAAUUUCAUAAAUCUAAUAUUCUUUUUCGAUAUCGUACGAAGCGCGACCAAGUUCACUAAUUUAUAUAUAAAUAUAGUUAAUGUAUAUAUUAUGUUCAUAAACUAUAAACUAUUAUACUGAAUUUGAAUCGGUAUACUUUUCAAUAUGUUUAGGAAUUAAGAUGAUUAUGAUGAUAAGAGAAUUUUUUUAAAAGAUGAAGACAACAAAUAAAGAAAGCGAAAGAUCAGGAAAAUGAUAAAUGAACUUAGUGGAGAAGAGAUUAAGGUAAAAUCUAGAAUUUUUAGGAUAUUUGAUUAUUCUAAUCGAUAGCAUUAAUGCAUAAGCUUAAUUUUAGAAUUGUAAUUUAAUAUUUAUCGAUAAUUUACCGCAUUAAGGUAAGUUAGUGUAAUAAAAGUGAUCAAGGAAGGUUAAUGAAAUUAUAUAGUUCUGAAAGACAUAAAAACAAUUAUAAUAAAACUAGCAAAAGGAGGUAUUUUUGAAUACCUCGCUAUUUUGAUCUUUUCCUUAUACCAAUCUUGAACUCUCGACCUCCUGGUGUGGAGAUCACUCCCUCAACCACUAUGAACAAGAGCGACUGAUGUCCUUUCUUCAGUAAGCAAAAUUAUUUAUGGCUUUCUAAUAUAAAAUUGGAUAAGCUAACAAAAUUGUAAAAUACUAGGUGAUCUGUUUCUGCCUGUGUUUGUUCAAAAUCAUUUGGUAUUUUUUAUUGUGAGAGAUGGCAGAUAUUCGUGAAAUAAGUCAAAGUAUGCGGGCAAGAUGCUUCGCACACCGCGAUUAAAAAUAAAAUAAAAUGACCUGACCAUUGAAAAUAAGUCCAAAUUUGGGUGGGUUAUGUCUAGUCAUUCAAAAACAAUUGAAUCAUUAUAUAAAUAACUGAUCGAAUUCACCGUUACUUUUUCUAAUUGGUAUAUCUAUACUAUACUUUAUUAUACAUAUAUUAUAUAUAUCUUCCAGCUAGCUGUUUUUAGUUUACGCAAAUGAUCGGUCAUUAAAUAUAUAUAUGUGUGUGUGUGAACGAUUUAUCCGUCCUUAAGUGGUAUUACCAUCCAUUCUGGAGAAGAAGUUGAUUUAACAAUUUCUAAUCUUCAUCUACCUGAUGUUCCAUCAAUUUUCGGUUCUAUUAAUUUUAUAACAACUAUCUUCGGUAUGUGUGGACCUAGAAUGGCUAUUCAUAGAUAGCCUCUAUUUGUAUGCUCCGUUCUAGUGACAAAUGACAACAUUCCCACUUUUACUAUCACUUUCAAUAUUGGAAAGAACCCUGGGGCUGUGUGACUCAAACAUACUCUCUAACCAUUCGUGUGCCUAAUUUAUUUUAGGAGGUAUCAGGACAGAGUUUUGGGUGAAAAAAAAUUCUGCUAAUUCUCUUCUUGUUGUACCAUAUACAUGCCAAUAGCAGUGGAGUGUUGUCAGUGAGGGAUAUUGUUAAGAAAUAACUCAAGAAUCAAGUGACCCAACUUGAUGAAAAGGUCGAUCAUUUGGACGGACAAGUGUAGACUAUAGUAGAAAAACAGCGGAAUCUAAAAUCGUUGGUCACCUGACCCUCGCUUAUCAGCACUAUGUCUUCAGUGUAUGAAAGUUUUGAUACUACAACGAAGCUUCACUGACCAAAACCAACUAUGGCUGAGCUUUGUUCCAGCUGUUGUUAUAUGAGUGUUGGCUUCAACAAAUGCAUCCUAUUGCUAUAUUGAUGAUCUUGUAUACUAACUGAGUCUGUACUCGCCCAAGAACACAUACAUCUUCCCUGCAAUUGUCUUGUUAUUAUUAUAGUUUCAGGGCCUAUGUCUACCCGUAUGGAGCCACCAUCAUUCGCAAGGCUUGAUUUACAUUGGACCCGAAGUUGAGCCUGUCAUAGCCUAGUACUGGUGAACUAGGCAAGCGACCUACAAUGCAACCAAUCUUUCUGGAAAAUUAAUGUACACCCCGCCGCUGCUUUCGGGUAGAGGUAGGCUCUUGCGUAAUGCCUAAUGCUUAAUGCUUAAAGUGGUUUGAGCUGCUCUGAGUUCUAUUCUAAAGACUGAAUCUAAAACUGAGACUGUGAGAGGUAAUCAUCUAACCGACAUGCCCCUUUUUUUAAUCGGGGUCCAACCUGUAACCCAAGUUGGAAGGGUGUCAAUACCGUGCCACGGGUAAGGACAAACUGUGAGUGACCUUCAUCUGACAGGUACUCUAACGAGAUCGCUGGAACCCUCAUCUGACAGGUUAAGCCACCUCAUCAACCCUCAACUGACAGGUUUGAUGUCUCAACGUACGCUGGAUAUGUAGUUCUGGAAUGCAAGGAUUGCUUCUAAGAAUCACACCCUCUACUAGCAGGUGAGUUCCCAUCCUUGGGUUCACUCGGUGUUGGAUCCUACUCCCAACUGAAUAGACACUGAACUGAUUUCCUAGUUCAUACUAGGCUUGACUAAACUGUUACUGAGUUCACUGAGUUUUGUUGACUUACAAAAUAUUACUGAAUUUGGUUAACUAACUGAGUUUACAAAGGACUAAACGUAAUACUGAAUACUACUGAGAUCUGAACUGAUUACUGGAUACUACUGAGAUCUAAACUGAAUACUGAAUACUACUGAGGUCUAAAUUGAAUACAAAAUACCACUGAGGUCUGAACUAAAUACUGAAUACUACUGAGGUCUGAACUGGACUAGACUGAUACUGAGCUUACUGAGUUUUCUUGAGUUCUGUAACUAGGUGAGUUCUAUUGAGUUCUGUAACUGACUGAGAAUACUACCGAUCAUAUCGUGAUUGAUACUAUUCUAUAACUGACACUGGCUCUAGGUAAACAACUAAAUUGUCGGAUAUUAAAUACCCCCAGUACUCGAUAACAUGAAAGUAAAGCAUGGCAUGAUAAUAAUAGCAUAACAAUAGUCAAUUGUUAACAAUGCUUUCAUUUAGACAUUUUGUCAAACACUUGGAGGUUAUGGACUUGUACAUGGAUAAGAACACAUGGUAACAUGUCAUGAUUACCCUAUUCAAUUCAUAUGAGCAUUCUAUCAAGCACAUGGAGAUUAAUACUUGGACUUGGGAAUAUCUUAAACAUGGGAGCAUAACAUGGUUUUAUAGCCCAAAAUCAUGAAUUGGGGAAAUACAUGAAAUUCACUUGAAAUAGGGUAUGGGCAUUUCAUCACAACAUGUAAGGAUCAUCACGUGGAAAGCGUGAAUUAAAAACAUGGAAUUAUUUCUAAUUAUCUUGAAUAUAGGAUCCACCAUGGAAUCAAACUAAAACUCUAAGGACAUGAUUUGUUCAAAAUCAUUCUUGUAGGCACUUCAUCAAACAUUUGUAAUGCAUGGUUUAGGCUAAGCAUGUGAAUAGUUAAAAAUAGUAGUAAUAGCAUGAUUCCACCCCUGAAAUCACCAAUUAGGAUAUAAAUUUAGCAAACAAUAACAUUCAAACAUGUGAGGUUUAAUAUCACCGAUAAUUUCAUGGAAACAUGAUAUAAGCUUGAGAUUCAUGGAAACUUAUAAACAAAAUUCAUGGAAACAUGUAAAGAUUGUAACUUUAAACUUAAAAUUUGAGUUUUGGGCUCCAUGACUGAAAGAGGACCCAUGGAUGAACCCCACAUACCUUAAUUUGAUGAAUCCUUGAAUAAAUCAUGAAUUUGAGGCUUGAAUCCUUGUGUUCUUUAGAGAAAAAAAUCGAAUUUGUUCAUGGUGGGAAAUGGGAGGGUUUAUGUGAUUGUGGAUGAUGAAAAAUGGACAAAUAAUGCCCCUUUGAGGUGUUAUAAAUCAUCCAUUGGACGUUUAGGGUUGAGGUAAAGGACCAAAGUGCCUCUUGACCCUUUAAAAACUGAAAUUAGCAUGUGAAACAGUCCCGUAACGCGAUCUCGACGCGUCGCUAUUGCGUCGGCUUACUACCUCACACGGAAAACUGCAUAACUUUUCGCUCGAGUAUCAGAUUUUUGCGAAAUUGGUAUUGUUGGAAAGCUAAUUAAAUUAUCUACAAUUUGGUGAGUCUUGAGAUAAAAAAUUCUAUAUAUAUGAAAAGUUAUACACAUUUAAAAUAGACCCUUGUAGAAUCGAAUAUUCAACUUUGGAUGAACCAAAGGCUCUAAACUCAACUUGGCUCUAAAUGAUUUCUAUGAAUAUUUUUAUACUAAAGAGCACUUCACACACUAAGAUAAAGAUCAUAAAACUUCUAUUCACAUACGAAUCACUUGGAUUAUAUCUUAUACACGUAAGAAUGACGAUUCAUAGACUAGCCCGAAAAUGUGGGGUAUUACAUUACUUAUUUUUUUAGAAUUUUCAAAUUACAAGUUAGUCAGAUCAUGAUUUCAUUACUAUGAUCAAUUUCGAAUUGAUCCUUGUCAGUACAGUGCCAUGUUAUAUUACACCAUGAAUAACACCAGUGUCAUUCAGUUGGGAGUUGGAUUUAGCACCGAGAGGGAAGUGUGGGUUCAGUGCAUCCUACUUCCCAGGAACUAUGUGCCUCCGUAGGAUUUAGGAUUCGCCAAAAAGUGUUCCCCUCUUUUUGAUCAAAUUGGGCUUAGUUUAGUGAUCACUCCAGUUCAGGUUCUACUCCGAUGGAAAGGAUGGAACAACUUUCCUCAACGUGGGUCAGACGUUGACCUCUAUCGUAAUAUCCAUGGUUUAUGUCGGUUACACGAUAGCUCCCACAGUUUCAGUCAGUAUUGGUAGUUUAUUUUAGUUCAGUUUUUGCUAGAUCAAGUAGUCAGUUUUUAACAUAUAUCUAUUCAAUUAUACAAACAACAACAAUUUUCUUCAGAUAAUGUCAGUGUAUUAGAAUACUUGGUCUUGCAUAUUCAAUUUUACAUGUUCAUGUAUUUACAUUCAGUUUUCGCAUGUAUUUCAGUUAGUCCUUACCUCACGUACCAGUACAUUCAAAGUAUUGAUCGCAUAGUUUUAUCUUGCUCCAUGUUAUCUUAUAACAUAGUUCGGAUGCACACUUUCCCGACCAUUUUAGACAACUCAGCAGUUCCCCACAGCAGUAGUGGUGAGUCCUCAUCCUUCAAGGACGGGAUAUGAUAGUUUAUUCAUUUUAAUAACGAUUCAGUUACUUGGAGAUAGUUGGGGGUUUGUCCCAUCAACUCCUCAUGAUUCUUAGAGGCUUUCAGACAGUUAGACAGUGAUUUAGUUUUCACUUAUUAUCAAUUGUUUCAAACAGGCAGUUUAGUUUUCCAGUGUUUAUAAGAUAUUUCAAACAUGUCUUUUAUAAAGUUUAGUAUUCAGAUUGACAGUUCUUCAUUGGUUUAUCUUCUGCACAUGUUAUUUUACUUUUAUUUCAUUCAGUGCUCAUAGCAGGUAACAGACCACGGGUUAGUUUAGGGUUAAUUGUGGCCUUAAGCACUGUGCCGCGACUAGGGAGUUACCUCGGGUCAUGACAUAAGUACCCCUUCAACUUUUAAUAAGAGAUUUUGAAUUUGAGUUCUGGAAAUAAAAAAAAAUCAUGUUAGGAGCAUCGCCUUUGAUGAGUUUUAAAUUUGCAAUAUAACAAAGAGAAAAAAGAUCUAGGUAGGUAUAUAUGACCUAAUUUUUAUUUCAUCCACUUUUAUUUGGAGUUUAUUACUUUAAAUUAUGAAAAUUUUGUUCUCAUAAGAAAAAGAGUUAAUAUGAGUGAUUUAUUAUUAUAGAAAAAAAGAAAUUUUGAUAGGUAAAUUUCAUAGUUUGGAUGAUUAUACGAGUAAUUAACUCUUUUUAUCGGUAUGGUAAUUUUCUUUUUGAUACCUUUUUUGAAAUCUAAUACAAUGGAGUUCGACUCCUAUAGUUAAAACUUUAGGAUGAAGUUUAGAAAAAGAGUACUCUAGAAUGUGAACGAUAAAUGUUGUGGACUUGUUUUUCUAUAUUUACAUUAGGAAUAGUGGGAAGGGGAGCCUUGGAGUAACUGGUAAAGUUGCUGCCAUGUGAUCAGGAGGUCACGGGUUCAAGCUUUGAAAAUAGCCUCUAGCAGAAAUGUAAGAUAAGUCUGCGUACGGUACACCCUUGUGGUGGGGCCCUUCCCCGGACACCACGUAUAGCGGUAGCUUUAGUGCACCGGGCUUCCCUUUUUACAUUAGGAACAGUGGAACACCAUAUUUUCCUCAUUUUUAAGAAACUUAGUUUCUUAAUAUUUCUUCAAAACUUUGAUCAUCAAACAUGAAAAAAUUGUCGGUCACACCCUUAAAGUUUUGUAAUGUAAUAAAACAAGGAAAAAUAACUUAAAUAUACACCUUAACUUAUCAUAUUUACAUAAAUUCUCACUCUUAUAAAGUAAUUACAAAAAAAUCAACUAAUUAUUUAUCUUCGUUAGAUGUAUCGGGAGUUAAUUAUGUAUAUCGACAGACCCAAAAUAAAAAAAAAAUAUAUGCAGACCUAAUUACGUAUCUGUACAAAGAAAAAGAUGUAUCUUCGUUGGAUAUAUUAUGUAUCUAGACAAAUUCAAAAUAGAAAAAAAUAUAUUGAGAGCUAACUAUGUAUCUUUACAAAGAAAAAAAUGUAUCUUCGUUGGAUGUAUCGGGAGCUAAUUAUGUAUCUCAACAGAUCCAAAAUUGAAUUUUUCAGUAAAUAUACAAAAUAUCGAGAUUUUCUAUAAUUAAGUUCCAAACUAUCAGGAUUUAUGUUGUUCCCAAUACUCAAAUUAGAAGUUUAAGACUACCCCACUUUGAUAGGAGGCUUUACAGCCCAAAGGGCUCAUUAACAUGUUAAUCUAAUGGAUUAGAUCAGAUUGAUAUGACCUGGGCCAGUUCGGCAAUAUAAGCCCACACUUGGGGAAUUACACAAGAAAUUACAUGGGAUGAUCUCCAUAGUGGGUGACUUUGCGUUUUUGUCCCUCACAAGAAAUUUUUUUAAAGACUAGUCUUUCAUCCAUUUUAUGUAUAAAACAAGUAUAUUUUUGUUCCUCUAUAACUCAAAUGUUUUUACACCUUUCAUGUUUAUUUGUCUCUCAACUUAUAUUUUUCUCUUUUUUUUUUCCUUAGUUUUCUUUUUCUUUUCUUUUUUUUUUAAUUCAUUUGUAUCAACCUUUAAUUGUUUUCUCAGAUAUUAUUUAUAUAUUUAUUUUUAAUAAAAGAGGCGAGUCAGUGAUCCAUUCUAUCAAAGAAAAAAGGACACUCUAUAACAUUUUUUAAAACAAAUAGCCCAAGUUUGAACACCUUUCAAAAAGUGGCAGUCGGAUAUACUAUUUCCGCUUUAUAGCCAUUUCGUAAUUUGAGUCAUUUUGACCUACGUAGUCCAUAUACAAUACUGAUACAGUCUAUAUACAAUACUGAUACACUAUUCAACUUGGGCAAUUCGACCCUUUUAAAAAUAUUUCAUUUUUUUUUCUAUAAAUUUUUUAACUGACCAAAUAUUCUUCUUUUUUUAUUGUUUAGAAAUAAUAAUUAAAUUAUAUAAAAAUGAUAUAAUUGUUAAAUAGAAUAUGUAUCUAUAUAAGAUAUAUGUAUAGAAAUUGUAUGGUUCUAUCAAAUGUGUAUAUGUAUAAAAUAUAUAAAAAAUAUAUAUAAAAAGUGUAUGAAAGUUAUAUAAUUAUUGUAUAAAAUGUGUAAAAAAAAAAAAAGUAAAGUUAUUGUAUAAAUUGUGUAUCAAAACUAUAUAAUUUUUGUACAAAAUACUUAUAUGUAUAAGAUAUGUAUAGAAUCUGUAUAGAAGGUGCGUUGAAACGACAUAGAACAAGCCAGUAAAUUGAAAUGGCUAGAAAGUGAAAUUUAAAUUUCAUGGUCAUUUUCAUAAAAAUAGUUUAAUUUGAAGUGCCGUUUCUGUCCUUCCCCUUUAUUGAAAGCAAAAUCUGUACAAAAGCAUGGCUUGAUCCGAUAAGAGCCCAAAUACGAAUUGAAAGGGCAAUUUUCAUAAAUCCCACCAAGUUUCUUCUUAAUUACUUUCUCUCCCGAUUUUUUUAAUAAAUUUUCUCUCUCCCAGAUUUUAAUUGUUCAUAUACAUAACUGAAUGUUAAUAUACAUAAGUAUCUUAUGUUUCAUAACUAACUUCCUUAACUAGAUUUAAGAAAAUAAAUCAAGUCUAAUAAUUAUCCAAAAUGAUAUUAAAGGAAAUAAAUCAAGUCUACUAAUUAUUCAAUAUUAUACAUUAUUAAUGUACAAUUAAUGAAUUUCUUAAUUAUGCAAAAUUUUCAAAAAAUAUACUCGUAAAAGAAAAUUUACCACAUAAAGCACCUAGACAAUUUUAGAACCAAAGAAAAAAACUCUUAAUAAAAUAAAGGGACAUAGAAAAUUUUAAAACGAAAAAAAUACCCGUUUAAAGAAAAUUUCACUACGUAAGUCUACGGAAAAUUUUACUACCUAAUCUACAUAUGAAAGAAAUUUUACUACGUAAGUAUGAAAAAAUUUGAAACAAAAAAAAUGAAUUCCUAGAAGAUUUGAAGAACAUGGCAACAGAGAACCCCAACCCUUAUAUAUAUAUUGGUUUGCAAAAUACACAUCCCGGACAUCACAUAUACAUAACAAUAUGAAACAAAACUUAAAAUUUAAAGACAACACAUCAUAUAAAUGCCUAACGUUCUUUUAUAUACACAACACUGCUAUGAUAUGAGCUAAAAUAUACACAACUCGGCUUGUCUAGAGUCAUAUACAUAACUGUGCUAUGUAUAACACUAUUGAUGCAUAACAUAUACUUAAUUCUGUAAUGUAUAUGACUUGAAAUUAAACAGCCCAGCAGUGUUUUAUUUUAAUAUAUAUACAUAACAUAUUUAUAUAUAUGAGUUAAAAUAAAACGUCCAACAAGUGACAUAACUACAAAUAUAUACAUAACUCGCUAUGUAUCAUAGUUCAAAAUAACAACAUGGAUUUACUAAGUAAUCUAACCAUAUACAUAACAAAUUUAAUAUAUAAGAAGACAUCUCUAACACUAUUACAUAACUAAUUUAUGUAUAAGGUUGAAAUAACAACAAAACACUCUUAUAUAAUAAUGUAUAAGAAUGCGUAAAUCGACAAAAAAAUACAACUUCAAAAACAAAUUACUAUACCUUUGAAAGACGCGGUCGUGACAAUUCUUUACUUUUUAUCUUACCUGAAGAUUUAACAACGGAUUUUUUAGAGCUUGUACGAGCAACUUUCCUCAACUUCUUCAUCUUGGUGGAGUCGUUUCAAUGUUUCGAUCUAUUUUCUCUAAAACUCGGACCAGACUCCAUUACUAUGCUUAAGCCUUGAGAAUUACGCACAUGCAACAAGUAACUCGUAGAUUUUUGAUUUAUUAAAGUUGAAAAAAAUAAGAAAUUAAACUAACCCCAAAAAUAAAUUAAAAAGAUGAUGAUGUUCAACAACUGAUAAGAUAAGAUUUGUAGAUUCAAAUCUUGAAAUCUCUUAAUUAUGGUAGCUUGGCUUUGGGCAUAAAUUGUGGAGGUGUGAUAUGUAUUUGAAUUUGCAUUGGAGGUUGGAGAGAGAAAAUACAAAAAAUGGGAUAUUUGUAAUUAGUUUUGGUAGAUGAGAUUUUAUGUAAUAAUAGAAAGUUAGGAUGUAUAUUUAUGUAAAUUUUCCAAAAGUACGGCAAGCAAAAAAAACAAAAAGGCAACAAAAUAAAAUAUCUAUAUAUAUUAUAAAACAGAGGACGAAGCACCAGAAGAAGCCACGUGGCAAAAUAUCGAGAAGCCACAUGGCAGUUUUUAGGACAAAACUUAAGUGUUGUAAUAAAAAAUUUAAAUUUAAAAAUAUUAAAUAUUUUAAUUAAAUAAUAAUACUAAAAAAUCCCUAACUUUACGUAAUUAUAGUUAUGUAGCAAUUCAUUAAAAAGAAAGUUUUGGUAAUCUUAUUAAAUAUUUGAAUUAAAUAAUAAUAUUAUAAAAAUUACCUACUUUACGACAAUAAUUAAUUAAAAAGAAAUUUUUGGUAAUCUUAUUAAAUAUUUGAAUUAAAUGAUAAUACUAAAAAUUUUCCAACUUUACGUCAUUAUGGUUAGGCAGCAUAUUUUUUAUAAUAUUAAAUAUUUGAAUUAAUCCUACAUCUCCGGCAGAUAAUAACUAAAAAUCUAACUUCCACCAAUUAAAAAGAUAUUUUUAGCAGACAAUAAUUUUGAAUUUUUACUGAUUAUAACUAUCUCUAUAAUUUUACAGUUUUUAAUUAUAUCUCAAACUCAUAAUGCUUAUCCUGACUUGAUUUGAAUUUGAAUUUUAAAAAGUCUUAUCCCAACUCUUAUCAUUAUCUCUUUUUAUAAAAAAUUUAAAAAUAUUAAAUAUUUAAAUAAAAUAAUAAUACUAAUUUUUUUUCUAACUUUACGUAAUUAUAUUUAUGCUACAAUUCGUUAAAAAGAAAGUUUUGGUAAUUUUAUUAAAUAUUUGAAUUAAAUAAUAAUACUAAAAAAUUUUCCUACUUUACGACAACAAUUAAUCAAAAAGAAAAUUUUAAUUAAUUGCUGCCGUAAGAGCAAGUGCCUUCUUUUUUAUUUUUUUUGUUUAUCAAUUAAAUGAGUUUGAGUUCCUAAUAAAAUGCUAACUAUGUAGUUUUCAAGUUUGAAUGUAACUUCUCAAAUGAUUUUUUUUUUUUUUAAAUUUUGAAAUUCUAAAGUGUUACAUAAUGAUAAUUUAGAAUCUUGUCUUUUCUAACAAACUGAUAUAUUUAAAAUUUGAAUUUGACUAAAGAUUUGAUUGACAUAAAUAUCCAUAUUUGUAACCUCCUAUAUAUAUCCCCUUCAAUACAUAUAUCAUUUAAUCUUUCUUAUUUUCUUCUUCUUUAUUUUUGUCAGUUAUAAUUAUUUUCAUAUUUAGAUUGUGUUUAUCUCGAAAAAAUUUAUAUGAUCAUUUUUUUCACAAGAUAUUGGUUUAAUAAUAUCAGAAAAUAAUUUUUACAUUAUUAUUAUUAAAAUCAUCUUUUAAUAACUAUCAAAGUAUGUUGAUGCUUAACUUAUCUUUUAAUUUUUUUUAUUGUUAUUUAUGAUUAACAUUAUAUCUAAUUUUUUUCACAGAUAUAUCUACCAUGGUUAAAAAGAUUGCAUGUAAUAUUAAUGUUCGUCAGAUUUGUUUAAUUAAUUAUCAAUAUAUACUGUUCAUGGUUAAUUUAAUUUUGAAUAUUUUUUUGUUAUUUAUGAUUAACAUUUUUUUUUUUUGAAACAAAUGUACCUAACAUGGAUUAAAAAAAUUAUAGGUAAUGCUCAUCAGAUUUCUCUAAAUAAACUAGAAAGGCAUGUUCUCAUACUUGAUUUAAUUUUAUUAUUUUUGUAAUUAAUGCUAUAUUUAUCUUUGUCACAUAUGUAUCUAUGGAAGCUGAUUUUUUCACAAAUCUUAUGCAUGUAACUCUCCCCAAAAUGCAAAAUAAAUAUUUGAGAAGUCAGCAAGUAUAAUUGAGAGUUGAAAUAUACAAAGAAAAUUUAUAUACCAUUUGUGUAAAGAAUGAAUACAAAUAUUUUAUGUGUUCAAAUAUAAUAUAUUUCUCUAUCACAUUUAUAUAUUCACUCUAUUUUAAGAUGGUUACCAAAAAGAUUUAUAUGUAUUUAAAUAUUACAAUUGAUUUAUUCUUUUCAUGAGUUUACUUGCAAAUUUAUAUUUAUAUAUAAAAAACAUUUACUAAUUUUGUUUGUCGUUUAUAUUUUUUAAAAUUACACAACUAAAAUCUCGAUAAACAACAAGUCACAUGAGCAUUAUAAUAUAAAAAUCAAUUAGCUUAAAUUUAAAUUCAGUAUUUUAUAUUUUGAAAUAUAAGAGAAGAAAACUUAAUUACUAAUAAAAUGUAACCUAAAAAAAAUAAUUAAAAAAUAUUCUAGAGUAGUGAUAGUUUUAAUAGUAUUAAUAACAGUAUAAAAACUACUACUAUUACUACUACUACUUUAUUGUUAUCAUCAUCACUCAUCUUAAAUAUUUAUCUUAAUUCAAUUAUAUAACUUAUAAUAUAAUAUACAUAUUUUUAAGAAAAUAACAAUAUAAUAUACAUAUUUUUAAGAAAAAUAACAAUAAAGAGAAUAAUAAAUUAAUCUUCUUUUAGUAAAUUUGUGAUACCAUUUGAAUUUAAAAGAUUAAAAAUAUUUGAAUUUAAAUUUAAAAAAGAAUAAAAAAAUUUGAUUUUGAUUUUAUUUUUUUUGGGUGGGUUUUUAGCCCCCCGGGGGGGAGGGGGGGAGGAUAUGAGGAGGGGGGUAAAUAGCUUUUGAUUUUUUUUUCAUUAUCAAAUAUGUAAAUAAAAUUUUGUAUUAUUAAUACUAUUGUCAAAAUUACUUAUACAAAGAAAUCAUUCCCAAUUAGUACUAUUGUCAAAAUUACUUAUACAAAGAAAUCAUUCCAACUAAAAUAUUAUUGUGAUCACUUAUUUUUUCUUUCUAACAUUUAAUAUGUUUGGAAAAUUAUGUAUCUCAUAUUUUUUUAAUAAGUAAAAUUUAUUUGUUCUAUAAGUAUAUGUAAGUUCAUAAUAUAUAUUAAAAGAGAAGAACAUUAUAUAAUAUUAAAGAUAAUCAAAAAAAAUAUUGAUAAGUAGAAAAAACUAUCUAAAAUAUUCAAUUGAGACAAGUAGGAGAGGAGAGGAAGUCGAAUAUUCAAGUUAAGAGAGUUAUUUGGUUUAAAACAAGGUUAAACUUAAAUUAAAAGUAUAUGAAAUUACAUAUUAAAAGUAGUUAGCUAUCAUACUAAAGAGUUCUAGUUGGAUUCUUAUUGUUAUUAUCUGUUCUUUUAUUUUAAAUUUGAAUUAGAGAUACAAUAUCUUCUCAAAGAUAAGCUUAUAUUUUUUUAAAAAAAUUAUAGGUACAUUUAAUUAUUAGAUGUAUUAAAAAAUAUAACUAACUGUAAUAUAUUAAAAUAUUAAAUGAAAUAUAAGAAUAUAAUACUACUACUAAUCAUAAAUAGUAGCAGUAGCUGUAGUACAUAAGUGUAUUAGUAGUAGUACUUAGUAUGUAUAGUAAUAAGAGAAAAUACCCAAUUACACCCUUGAACUAUACUCAAAAAGGCUAUGACAUACCUCAACUUAAAGGGGGUUCUAUUACCCCCUGAACUAAUUAAAAGUGUAAUUUUGACACCAUUAGUGCCUAUGUGGUACAUACGUGGCACACACGUGUGCCUACGUGGACACUUCAGUGUGUUGUGCCAUGUAUGUGCCACGUAGGCACUAAGGGUGUUAAAAUUAUACUUUUAAUUAGUUCAGGGGGUAAUAAGACUCUCUUUAAGUUGAGGUGUGUCAUAGCCUUUUUGGGUAUAAUUCAGGGAGGUAAUUGAGUAUUAUCUCUAGUAAUAAUAAUAAUACAAUUAAUAUGUUAAACGAGAAAGUAUUUUUUAAAUACUAACAAGUAAAAUUUUGAAUUUUGUAUGUUAUGUAAAGCAUCAAUAAACAACGAAUUAAAUGAAUAUUAGAAUAUAAGAACUUUAGUGACCCAGAUUUAAAUUCAAUAUCUUAUAUUUUGAAAUGUAAGAGAAAAAAGUUCAGCUGCCUAUGAAAUGUAACAAAAAAAAAAAUAAUUCAAUGUAUUAUGGAGAAAAUAAUUAAAAUACUAUAUUUUUUUUUACAUGUAUUGGGCGUUUGGGGUGGGGGAUAAGAAUUUUGAAUUAAUUUUGAGAAUAUAAUGAAUAAAUUAAAUAAAAAAAUUUCGGUAAAGAAAUUAACUAAAAUUUGAUAAUAGACAAAUAACUAUCCUUUAUAUUGAAAAAAAAAUAGAAAAUACAUGAUUAAACAAAAUAAAUUUAUAAUUUUAUAUUAACAAAAAAUCACUUGAUAAUUAUAUUAAACAAUUUGAUAAGUUAAUAAAGGUCAAUAUUAGCAAUUGAAUAGUAUUAGAUAGUGAACAAUGCAAUAAAGAAAACUGCUGGUCAAUUCUUUUUUUCUUUUUUUUUUUUUAUAAUUAUACGAUUCAUUUUUUUUCAUAUGAUUUGACUAUAGGAUUGUCUGGAGGUGGGGGUGGCGCAGCGGAGUAGCGGCGGCUAACACUCUGUUUGGAUGGUGGUUUGUCAUGAUUUCAUAAUGUAUGGAACAGUAUGGUAUGGUAUGAUACUGUAUAUUAUAUAGUACAAUACAAUAUUUGGAUAGACUGUAUGGUUCACUGCUGUUUAAUAAUAGUUUUCUUAUUUGGUUUGAUGGUAUGGUACUGUAUCGUAACGGGUAACUUUACUAAAAUACCCCUAAUUAUUGUAAAUCUUAAAUUUAUCGAUAAUUAUUAAUAAAAUAUUUUGUUUCUACAAAUUUAUUGCAAAUCAUAUAUUGUAAAUAUAUUACGUUGUGAAAUUCAAGUUUCUGUACAACUUUAAGUUUCUAUUCAAAAACAAAGCUAACGAUUCAAGUUUCUCAAGUUUCCAUUCAAGUUUCUGUACAACUUCAAGUUUCCAUUCAAAAACAAGCUAACGAUGAAUUGCUCUCUCUAGUAAGAAAAUCAUUCCUUUAAUGUGCGUGUGUGUUUUCCGAACACCAAUCCAAACUCAACAACAUCUUUGAUAGGUAAAUAUAGUAAAUUUUAUGAGAAAACAAUAAGGAGUUAAGUCUAAAAAAAUAUACCUCAGAGAAUGAGCGUAGAAGAAGAAGGCGAAAAAACAAGAACGGAGAACAACGUAGAGGAGAGAUUGAGCAGAAAAAACGUAAAAAGAAAAAUAUAUUAGGGUUAUAAAUAAUAUAGGACAAAGGGUAAAAUAGGAUUAGACAAUAUUAUAUAAGAGUAUAAUUGAAAAAAAAUAACAAAACCAUGGGAUACCACCAAAUCAGUGGUUCUGGAAAUUGAAGGAUUUCAUGGUUAUCAAAUCGUGAAAACAUACCAUAGCUUUUAGAAAACAAUCAAAAAAAAUAUGGUUUCCUUGGUGACCAUUGUUGGGUUCAUAGUAAUGAAAGGGUGUCAAUGGAAAUGUUAAAACAUGCAGGAACGCGUAAACAGUGACUAUUUCAGGUGAACAGUAGCACUGUUUCGCGUGAACAGUGCACUGCUUCACGAACUGACGCAUGAACAGUGACUGUUUCGCGUGAACAGUGCACUGUUUCACGAAUUGCUGCAAUACUGUUUCGAACUGAUGCAAUGUUUCACGAAAUGGUGUACUGUUUCAGAAAAUUACUGCAAUGGUUUAAGUAAAAAGACAUGUAUUUUCAGGAAAAGACACACACCUCUAAAUUGAACCAAUGCCAUCUUUCAAAGGGGCAUCUUGUGGCUAUAAAUAACCUGCUUUCUUCCACAGAUUAAGAUAGAAAAAUUUUCAGAAUUACAAGCUUCUUCUUCUUCUUAAAAAUACUCUAAGUGUGAUCAUUCAAACCGUGAGCGUCCGCUAUAGUCGGAUUGAAGUCCAUUUUAUCCUGGGAGGAAGAUUCCAUAACCUUGGGUACAGUGAGGGGAAUUAUUCCUUAAGGAAAGUCCAUGAAUUCGGACGACUUGGCCUUAACAAUUUCUGUUUCAUCUAUAUUUCUGAAAUAUAAAAUACACCUCUUGUAAAGAUCAUUUUGAUCUUGUGUUGAGGGUAUUUGUUCAACUUCGUUGUGUUCUUGUUCAUACUUGAACUCGUGUUGAAGUUGUUAUUCUAUUAUACAGAUUCCAUGUACCCGUAUUGUGGAAAAUAACAAUCUUAAGAAAUAAUUUUACAGAAUCUGUAUUGCUUGUUUUUGGAGAUUAAAGUUUAGGCUUUCUACUCCGCUUGAAUUUAAGUAGUGAUUAGAAGACAUAAAAUCUUCAUCACAAGUUAAGGUUCACUCAGUUGACAAUUCGAAGUAAUAAAAACUUCAUCGUUAACUAGAAACAAGAAGAUGAAGAAGAGUUUCAAGUUAUUUAACUUUAUUAAUAGUAUUCUGAAAAAUACUAAUUUUUCUGUCUUGUGGUGAUAGGAAAAAUGACAACUGAAAUUCAAAUGAUGGAUGGGACAACGUCUAUGGGGGCAAAUAAUAUUGCCACAUCAAGUCGCACAAAUGCUCCGCCAACGAUGGCACCGACGGAGAAGCCCGGAAAAUUUUUUGGCAUUGACUUCAAGCGGUGGCAACAAAAGAUAUUUUUUUACCUCACCACUUUAUGUCUACAACGGUUCACUAGCGAAAACGCUCCCGAGGUGCCCGAGGGAACCUCAGACAAAGACCGAUUCGUUAUUGUAGAAGCUUAGAAACAUUCGAAUUUCCUUUGCAGGAACUAUAUUCUGAGUGGUCUCCAAGACGACCUCUAAAAUGUCUAUAGUGGAACCAAGACAUCAAAGGAACUGUGGGGGGAACUUGAACGGAAAUAUAAAACGGAGGAUGCGGGAAUUAAUAAAUUACUUGUUGCACGGUUCCUGAACUUCAAAAUGAUUGAUAGCAAAUCUGUUGUCUCUCAAGUACAGGAGUUGCAAGUCAUCAUACAUGAUCUCCUAGCAGAAGGUAUAUUUUUGAAAAAUACCAUAGUUGAACAAAUUAAAAAUGUUCUUAUAACUCACAUAAACUGUUUUGUAGGUUUAAUUGUGAAUGAUGCUUUCCAAGUAGCAGCAAUAGUUGAGAAGCUACCACCUUUGUGGAAAGACUUCAAAAACUACUUAAAGCAUAAGCGCAAGAAGAUGACUGUUGAAUAUCUUAUUGUCCGUCUUCGUAUUGAAGAGGAAAAUAAAGCUGCCGAAAGAAGGUCAAAAGAAAAUUCUUCAAUGAGUGGAGCACAUAUUGUAGAAGAUAGCCAAAACAACUCGAAGAAAAGAAAGAAAGUUGAACAUGAAAGCAAUCAACCCAAGAAAAAGUUCAAGAAAAAAUGUUUCAAUUGUGGCAAAAUUGGCCACAAGUCCACAGAUUGUCGAGCCCCGAAGAAAGGCAAGAAAAAGAACCAAGCGAACAUGAUUGAGUCCAACAAAAAAUAUGGUGAUUUGUGUGCUAUGUUCACGGAAUGCAACUUGGUGGGGAAUCCACGCAAAUGGUAGAUGGAUUCUGGUUCCACACGUCAUGUUUGCGCAAACAAAGAGUUGUUCUCGUCAUUUGCUCUGGCUCAAGCAGAAGAAAUGCUUUACAUGGCCAACUCCGCUACUGCUAAGGUGGAGGGAACAAGAAAAAUUGCCUAAAGAUGACUUCCGACAAGGUCUUGACACUGCAUAAUGUGCUAUAUGUUCCGGAGUUACGUAGGAACUUAAUUUCUGUUUCAUUCCUAGAUAAGAACGGAUUCAAAUGUGUAACCUUUUCUGGGAAAAUUGUAGUUAGCAAAGGAGAAAUGUAUGUAGGAAAAGACUAUUUCACGGAGGUCCUUUAUAAGAUGAAUGUAAUGACUAUUGAAUUGAAUAAAAGUUUGAAUUCGUCUUAUUUGCUUGAGUCUUAAGAUUUAUGGCAUGAACGUUUAGGCCAUAUUAAUUACAAAACAUUACAAAAACUGAUUAAUUUAGAAGUUUUGCCAAACUUUGAGUCCAAUAAAUCAAAGUGUCAAACGUGUGUGGAAUCGAAGUAUGCAAAACAUCCUUAUAAGUCCGUUGAAAGGAAUUUCAAUCCCUUAGACUUAAUACAUACUGACAUUUGUGAUAUGAAGUCAACACCCUCUCGUGGUGGGAAAAAGUAUUUCAUAACUUUUAUUGACGAUUGCACUAGAUAUUGUUAUGUCUACUUGCUAAAUAGUAAGGAUGAAAUAAUAGAUGCGUUUAGGCAAUAUAGAACUGAAGUUGAAAAUCAGUUAGACAGAAAGAUCAAAAUGAUAAGAAGUGAUAGGGGCGGAGAAUAUGAAUCUCCCUUUGCACAAAUAUGUGUAGAGAAUGGAAUAAUCCAUCAAACUACGGCCCCGUAUUCACCUCAAUCUAAUGGAAUUGUGGAAAGGAAAAACCAAACUUUGAAGGAAAUNNNNNNNNNNNNNNNNNNNNNNNNNNNNNNNNNNNNNNNNNNNNNNNNNNNNNNNNNNNNNNNNNNNNNNNNNNNNNNNNNNNNNNNNNNNNNNNNNNNNNNNNNNNNNNNNNNNNNNNNNNNNNNNAGUGCCUCAGACUAAUACACAAUCAAGUCCUUACGAAAAAUGGAAAGGAAGUAAACCUAACUCGAAAUAUUUCAAAGUGUGGGGGUGUCUAGCAAAGGUACAAGUUCCUAUACCUAAAAGGGUUAAGAUAGGACCUAAAACGGUUGACUGCGUGUUCAUAGGAUAUGCUAAAAGUAGUAAAUCAUGUUGAUUUUUGUUUUAUAAAUCCGAACAUCCGGAUAUUAGUGAAAAUACGGUAAUGCUGAAUUCUUUGAAAACAUUUACCCGUAUAAAAUUAGACAUGAACAGUCUAGAGGAGGAUCUAAACAACCUCGAAACGAACCAAGUGAGAAUGUACAUAAUGAAGAAAAUCCAAGACGUAGUACACGUCGAAGAACGUCAACUUCGUUUGGGUCGGAUUUUGUAACAUUUCUCUUAGAAAAUGAGCCUCAAACAUUUAAAGAAGCGAUGUCUUUGUCAGNNNNNNNNNNNNNNNNNNNNNNNNNNNNNNNNNNNNNNNNNNNNNNNNNUUAAACAACCAUACAUGGGAAUUGGUUGACCUUCCUCCUGAAAAUAAACCUUUACGUUCUAAAUGAAUCUUCAAAAGGAAAAUGAAGGCGGAUGGUACUAUUGACAAAUACAAGGCAAGACUUGUAGUAAAAGGCUUCAAACAGAAGGAAUGCCUUGAUUACUUUGAUACAUACUCUCUAGUAACAAGGAUAACCUCGAUUCGAAUGUUAAUUGCCUUGGCGGCGGUAUAUGAUCUUCAAAUCCAUCAAAUGGAUGUGACAACCACAUUUCUAAAUGGAUAUUUGGAGGAAGAAAUAUACAUGGAACAACCUGAGGUAUUUGUGGUUCCAGGAAAGGAAAACAAGGUGUGUAAACUUAUCAAGUCAUUAUAUGGACUAAAGCAAACACCAAAACAAUGGCAUGCGAAGUUUGACCAAACUAUGUUGAUAAACGGAUUCAAAAUAAAUGAAUGUGAUAAAUGUGUUUAUAUUAAAGACACUCCAAAUCACCAAGUCAUUGUAUGUUUAUAUGUGGAUGAUAUGUUGAUCAUCAGUAGAGACAUUUCUGACAUAAAUACAACAAAACAAAUGCUUGAGAGCAAGUUUGCUAUGAAGGACCUUGGAGUUGCAGAUGUGAUCUUAGGUAUAAGAAUCCAUCAAACUCCACAAGGGUUGGCAUUGUCACAGUCUCAUUAUGUCGAAAAGGUACUUGACAAGUUCAAGUAUAUGGUAUUCAGUAUUGCCAAGACUCCAUUGGAUGCGAGCUUUGCACUUUGAAAGAAUGAAGGUGAAAGUGACUCGUAAUUGGAGUACACAAGAGUAUUGGGAUGUUUAAUGUAUAUAAUGAAUUGUAAACGACCAGACAUAGCAUGCGCUAUCAGUAAAUUGAGUCGGUACACGAGUAAUCCUAACAAAACUCACUGGAUGGCAAUGAAAAGAGUUUUGGUACAUCUUAAAUACACUCAAAAUUAUGCUUUGCAUUAUAAUAAAUAUCCUGCGGUACUUGAAGGAUAUAGUGAUGCAAAUUGGAUCAUUGGAUUGAACGAAGUAAAAUCCACAAGUGGAUAUAUAUUUACUAUCGGUGGAGGAGCAGUUUCUUGGAAAUCAUCCAAACAGACUUGUAUCGCUCGCUCUACAAUGGAAUCUAAAUUUAUCGCAUUAGAUAAAGCCGGUGAAGAAGCAGAAUGACUCUGAAAUUUCUUGGAAAAUAUUUCGUAUUAGCCUAAGCCAGUGGCACCAGUACGUAAACACCGUGAUAGCCAAGCAGCAAUAGGUAGGGCAGGGAUUAUGAUGUAUAACGGUAAAUCUUGUCAUAUAAGACGAAGACAUAAUACCGUUAGAGAAUUUCUCUCUAGUGGAAUUAUCAAUAUAGACUAUGUAAAGUCAAAGGAUAAUGUGUCGGAUCCACUUACAAAAGGCCUAUCUAGAGAAGGAGCGGAAAGGACAUCCAAGGGAAUGGGUUUAAGGCCUAGGACAAGUCAGCAUGGCGGUAACUCUACCUAGUAGACUGGAGAUCCCAAGAGCUAGGUUCAAGGAGAUCAAACAAAGUUGUGUCUGACAGGUUCAGCAUUGUCAAUUACCCAACCCAUUCUCAUAAUAUAGACAAUGUAUAGUAAACAAGGAUAAGACUUAAGGUGAAAAGUCUUUUAAUGAUUUUCUAAAUUUGGCAGAUUUGACCAAAUAGUUUAAUCUACAAGAUUGAACGUUUAGAAAUCACCUAUGUGUGGGCGAAGUGAAAACCGCUUCAAAGAGAAUGUUAGUAAGGGCCUAUUCUCUAAGCUCUCAUGAAAAUCGGGACGUGUUCAUGGAUGAAAAGAAUAAAAUUGUAAGAACCAUAAAUGGUAAAAGGCUGGUUGUGUGACAUGUGUUGUGUAGGUGUACAUUAAAUCUCGACGGUUCAAACAUAUCAAAUCUAUCGAUUGACCGAUUGUAUCCGAUGCAAGUUUACUACGGAAAGUUCAAAGGGAAACCUACUUAUCCAGAUGCAAUCAGUCUUUACUUAAUGCUCACAUACUUGUCUGUAAAAGUUUUACGAAAAUAAUAGUCAUUCCCCAUUCAUGUGGGGGAUUGUUGGGUUCAUAGUAAUGAAAGAGUGNNNNNNNNNNNNNNNNNNNNNNNNNNNNNNNNNNNNNNNNNNNNNNNNNNNNNNNNNNNNNNNNNNNNNNNNNNNNNNNNNNNNNNNNNNNNNNNNNNNNNNNNNNNNNNNNNNNNNNNNNNNNNNNNNNNNNNNNNNNNNNNNNNNNNNNNNNNNNNNNNNNNNNNNNNNNNNNNNNNNNNNNNNNNNNNNNNNNNNNNNNNNNNNNNNNNNNNNNNNNNNNNNNNNNNNNNNNNNNNNNNNNNNNNNNNNNNNNNNNNNNNNNNNNNNNNNNNNNNNNNNNNNNNNNNNNNNNNNNNNNNNNNNNNNNNNNNNNNNNNNNNNNNNNNNNNNNNNNNNNNNNNNNNNNNNNNNNNNNNNNNNNNNNNNNNNNNNNNNNNNNNNNNNNNNNNNNNNNNNNNNNNNNNNNNNNNNNNNNNNNNNNNNNNNNNNNNNNNNNNNNNNNNNNNNNNNNNNNNNNNNNNNNNNNNNNNNNNNNNNNNNNNNNNNNNNNNNNNNNNNNNNNNNNNNNNNNNNNNNNNNNNNNNNNNNNNNNNNNNNNNNNNNNNNNNNNNNNNNNNNNNNNNNNNNNNNNNNNNNNNNNNNNNNNNNNNNNNNNNNNNNNNNNNNNNNNNNNNNNNNNNNNNNNNNNNNNNNNNNNNNNNNNNNNNNNNNNNNNNNNNNNNNNNNNNNNNNNNNNNNNNNNNNNNNNNNNNNNNNNNNNNNNNNNNNNNNNNNNNNNNNNNNNGAAUUAUUUAUUAUAAAAUAUAUUCAAUAUAUUAAUUUAAAAUAUAUUAAUGUGAUACAAUAAAAAUUAAUUUAUUAUUUCAAACUAAUAAGAUAACAUUUCUAAGGAUUUUUUUUUUAAAUUUUGUAUAUUGCGCGAUUACCUAUACUAGUUUGUCCUAUACAAAAGGGUAACGUGAAAAUGGAAACCAAAUUGAUAGUGAGAGACAAAGGUCUGAUUUUCCUUGGCACAACCUAUACAAUAUCACUUUUUCUUUGUAUUGGUCUCUCUCUAUAGAUAUGUAAACGAUCUCUUCUUCUUCUUUAUAGACGAUAACAGUAGAUGGUGAAAUCAAUUAGUCUAAAUUCGAGCUAAAAUGUACAAAAGCUUAGAUCUUUGGAGAGAACACUCCAGGUCACCUAAAUUUCUCACCAAGUGUUGUGUAAUCAAACUCCAUUAUAAUAAAUUCAAAGCUCUAAGUUCCAUUUUAGCUCAGAUGGGACAAAAUCGAUUCAUCUAAUCAUUGUAAAGUUUAGCCUUUUCUCUAAUUUAUUCUUAUAUAAAGGAUUGAACCUCUAUAAUUAUUAAUGCCAUCUUCAUACAAGUUUAAAUUUAAAGUGGAAUAAUUAGCUAAGUGAACCUACAAAAAUUCCCUCUAGAACCUGUUCAUUGUGAUUGAUGUUGUUGUGAUUCUGUGAGUGAGAAAAUCGGUUGUGUUUGCAUGUGAACCUCCCUUAGUGAUUAAAAUUCUGCCUUACCUUCAUGUCUGCCAGGGCAUUGCCCUUCCUAUAGGUGUAUGUGGUUGAACUUGAAUAGACGUUCUAAUUCUCCUGAUAAUCAUGACAGUGCUCCAACGACGACUUUUCCGUUCACCCUUCACUAUUUUCAUCAAUGUCAAUGAGUCAGUUUUCAACAGAAGAGGCAUAAAUUAAUUUUCCACACAAUAUUCAUAUCUUUCCUUCAUGUCCAUUGGCUCAGCAAAAAUGCUAGUACCAUUUACUUAGUUGUCUACAAUUGCCAGCAAAUCAUACCUGGUACAGCUUGAAAUAUUGGUCUUAACCUGCUAGCUGAUAGCUCCAUACAUUCACUAUAUGUUUUAAUAAAGACAAACUAAUAAACAAAUAUCUUGCAGAAUAUGCUGAAGAUAUAGAAGAUCAAAAAGAUCCUUGAGGAAUCAAUCAGAAGAUCAGAAAAAGGAAGCAAGGACUCACUCACAAAAAGUCGGUACCUAGAUUGGGACAAAUCAAUCACAAAUCAUCAACUUCCAAGAUUUAUGGCAAACAGAUCAAUUAAGGACAAAAGCAGAAGCAAAGAAGAUCACACCAAGAUUAGAAUGGCAUUCAUCACGGACCAUUGACUUCCCAGAUUUAUGGCAAAUGAAUCAAUCAAGACUAAAGUAAAAGGAAAGAAGAUCAUACCUUCUACAUGGACAUAUCUAGUAUGGACAUGUACUACUUAAAGGGUGCACCACAUAUGGACAUAUUUGAUCAAUCAAGGAAUCACCUUCAAAUCCUUGAUUGAGAAGAAAUCUCUUGGGUUUUCUUAUGAAGAAUAACAUCUGAAUAAUAUAAAAGAAGAACACUGAGGAUAGACAAAUGCACGCAACUUCAAAGAAUCUCAAUGUGUCACAAAGCUUUGUAAUUCUUAGUUUACAAUAAUUAUACAAAGAAUAGGAUCGAGUCAACUUUGUAAUACAAACAGAGGCUGUGUCAUAAGAUCUAAAGAAUAAAAUAAGUCUUCGAAACUUGUUUAUCAUUAUUGUACUCGAGCCGACUAAAAAAAGAUCUAAGGAAACUUUGAAAUCCAAGGGGGCUGGAAGUAGGCACCACAUUGGUGUUUUGAACCAGGAUAAAUCUUUGUGUCCUUACUUCAAGUUGAUUAUUUACUUGUCUAUUUAUUUAAAUCUAAUCUGUUUUGUGAAGUGUGUUAAUUUGCAGGCAAGUCGACUGUAAAGGCUCAAUAGUCGACUCAUAGAAAUUUUCAAUUCACCCCCUCUUUAGAAUUUCAAUUGGUAUCAGAGUAGGUCUCACCAACAGUGUUGCUUAACUGCACGUGAGCACAGAUCAAAUGGCAAACUAUCAAAUUCCUAGUGCUCUUCUUCAAGGCAAAUAUUCCUCCACAAGACCACCCCACUUCAAUGGACAACGCUACUCCUAUUGGAAGUAAAAAUUUAGAAUCUUCGUCCAAUCAAAUGACUUCCAAGCAUGGGUUGUCAUUAAGAAGAUACCAAAGCCAAUUUCAGUACUCAAGGAGAAGCAGAAGGACAAAGACAAAGACUUGAGCAGUACUAAUAUAAAAUACCUUGAAAGCUUCGAGGUCUCUAAAGGACAACACGAGGUAAUUCAAACUAAUGCACGAGCUAUCAGUUUAAUUCUUUGUGUAGUUAGUGUAGAAUAAUAUGACAAGAUAUCAACUUGUGAGACUGCAAAAGAGAUGUGGGAUAAAUUGAAGGUAACUUAUGAAGGAGCCACCAAAGUCAGAAAGUCAAAGAUUGUUGCUCUAGAUAAUGAAUAAGAUCUUUUCAAAAUAGAAGAAAAUGAGAACAUUGAAAUAAUGUUUGCCAGAAUCAGCAAAAUCGUAUGCGGGCUAAAAUCAUUAGGGAUGAUCUAUCCACAUAGCCUGCAAGUUCAGAAGCUGAUUUGAAGUCUCCCAAAAGUUUAGAAAACUAAAGCUGUCAUUAUAGAAGACAAAUACCUUCACAAUAUGACAUAUGACAAGCUACGAGGUAAUAUCAUUGCAUAUGAACAAAACUAUAUCAACAAGUACCACAAGGAGGAAAAGAAGAAACUAGUAGCCUUCAAUGCCGCACUAACUGAAAAGGAGGAUUUUCUGGAAGAAACCAAUAGCGAAGGAAUGGCUCUCACAAAUCGAGGUGUAAGGUAAAUCAUGAGACAUAGACAAUAAAGAUCCUAAGGAUUUAAAAAUAAUGAUUCCACUAGAAACGAUGAUCGUUGUUAUCUCUGUGGAAGGCUGAGUCACUUCAAACAAAACCACCCAGAAUUAAGAAGGAGAUCAUCUAGACAGAAUCAAAAUUUUAGAGCUUGGAAUGAUGAAGAUGAAACUGAAGAAGAAAUAGAAGCAACCAACAUAUGGUUCAUGGCAAAAGGUGAAUCAAGUGAGGUAAGACCACACGACUGUCAUAACUGUAAUAUUCCUGAAUCUAAUUUAGAUAUGAUAACCGAUAAGCUUUAAAAAGUUAUAGAUGAAUACAAUAAACUCGCCAAGAGAAGAAAAAUUAGGAAGCUCGACUUGAACGAAAACUCGAAGAGGGACGAAGAAACUGUCAAGUUGUAAUCAAAGUAUGUCAAAUUGAAAUUGACUUGCUUCAAGAAGAUCUUGAUGAUGUAAAAAUGCAAUUGAAUAGUAAUAGAAAAUCACCGAGUCAGUUUUGUGAGAUUAAAUUCUUUUAAACCCAACUCAAUUUCCUCAUCAAAAUCGUUUAAAUAAUUCAAGACCUCUCUCUUCUCUCGAAGAGCUGUCUAUUAUUUCUGUGGACAAAAAAGGAAAAAAUCUUACAGUUGCAGGCAAAAGCCUAAAAGUGUGUGGGUUUGGAAGCCUAAAGGGAGCACUUUAACCCGUAAGGACCUAAGACCACUUGGGUACCUAAACAAAAUUGAUUUUAUUUUUUUGUAGGAACAUGCCCGAAAGAGAUAUAAGAAGGGGAUGUGGGUCAUUGAUAGUGGAUGUUCCAGAUACAUGAUCGAAAAGAAAGAAAAUUUUUGUGCUCUAAGGAAAAUAGAUGGGGAUCAGUCAAAUUCGGUGAAAAAGUUAGAGGCAACGUCAUCAGAGUUGUCUCAGUAAAGCUCAACUCCUCAUGUGAACUCAUUGAUGUGUAUAUAGUAGACAACCUCAAACAUAACUUGCUUAGUAUGAUGCCAGAUUUAGAGUCUCUUUCAAAGAUAAAAGUUGUUUCACCAAACACAAUAAAAGAGACAUCUCUCUUAUUAAUGAAUGCAUUGAUAAUAUUUAUGUCUUAAAUAGUACUGACUUUGCUAACUUAACUUACUUCACUAUGCAAACCAAUGACACUUGGUUGUGGUACAGAAAACUUAGGCAUGCUAGUAUGCAUAUCAUCAAGAAACAGUCCAGAUUGGAACUGGUGAGAGGUCGGCCGAAACUCAAGUUUGAAAGGGAUCACAUCUAUGAUGCCUACCAAUUGGAUAAACAGACCCAAAUAUCAUUCAAAGUCAAAGACACUGUCUCUACUACAAAACCCCUACAAACAAUCCACAUAAGUCUGUGUUCUGUAUCUGUUCUAUCCACAUAUGAAUUUUGAAGAUAUAAAUCAUGAAUAAUAAAGCAUAAAAUCUAGAUCUUGUGAGCCAUUACACUUAGUUCUAAAAUCUGUGUUCUGUAUCUGUUCUAAAAACUCUUAGGCUAAAUGAAGUCUGAAACUCAUUAUGCAUAGUAAAUACUUUAUCUUAAAGCUUUAAAUCUAUAAACUGUUUUAAGAGUGGGGGACAUAUAUUUGGGAGGUUCUUCUAACCGACAUGUACACCAUGUGAGCAUCCAUGAUGUCCCACGACUUGCCCUCGUAAGGUUAGGGCCGUUCUACCCUUGUCAUCGGAAUAGAACAAUCUCAUCUCAGUGAUCACUAUCUCAAUUAUCCACGUAUGGUGGAAAUAAGUAUCUCAACCUACGGUGGCACAUAAUUCUGGGGUAUGAAAUCGUAGUAACAUGCCCAACUCGGUGCUAAAUACUACUCCCAAUAUCAUGCUCAAAAUUCAAAGAAAAUCCACUUUAAACUAAUCUCAUGGUUUAUAAUAAAACCAACUAUAAAGUAUGUAAUCUAUAGCUAAAGUGGAUUUCAAUUCUGUAGUGACCAAAAGCUCAAAUCUUUUCUCAAAAUCUUUCUCAAAAAUCUUCCUCAAUAAUCAUAGGGUGCUUAUGGCACAACAAUUAAAAAAAAUGACAAUCUCAAAUAGGGCUUAAAGACCCAUGUUUCAAUCUCAUGUUAAAACAUCUCAAAAUUCAUCUUGAUAACAUAAAGUUUCAUUAAUCAUCUUAAAAUCUGGAAAAUUCAGAAGUAGGCAUGGAAAUAUAAACAUAAUAAUGUAAUUCAACUUUUAAUCCAUGGAAAAUCUCAUAAUCUUGCAAAUAAUAAUAAUGGGUAUAAACCCUAACUUCAAAUUCAUGAGAAAAUCAUAUUUAAUUCAGAAAUUUGUAAUUUAAAAUAAAUCUUUGGGCACAAGGAUGAAAGAGUUAUCCUUGUUCAAACCCCACAUACCUUAUUUAGCUUGAUUUGGUAGAACAAGAUGACUUUUGAAGCCUUGAGAGUUUUUCUUGAAGUUUUUUCUUGAAAGUUCUAGGAUGGUGGUGCUUGAUUCUUGAGUGUUCUUGGAGAAGUUCUUGAAUUCUUGGUCUUGGGGCUUGAUCUUGAAAGAAACCCUAACCUUGUGGUUGAAGGUGUAUAGAGAAUUUUUGAGAUGUUUAACUAAAGCGAAUAGAAGAAAAAUACGUUCCUUGAGGGUUAUAAGUCAUGGGAAGUGAAGGAAAAAGACCAAAAUACCGUUACUAAAUCGCUUCUCAAUUGCUGAAAAUCUCGGCUGACGAUAUUUUGUGAAAAGUCGUCAGACUUGUGAUAAGUCGUCACAAAUAUCGUCACUUGGGAGUUGGAUUUUAUGGGUUUCUGCCUAAGGCUGAUGACAUUUGCUGAUAAGUCGUCACACUUGUGAUAAGUUAUCAUAAAUGUCAUCAGGAACAUGAUAAGUUAUCAGAAAUGUCGUCAGGAAUGUGAUAAGGCGUCAGAAAUGUCAUCACUCAGUUUUUCAGGCUGACAUGCUGGACUAAAAUGGGCAUAACUUUUUGCUCCGAUAUCGGAUUUAGGCGAAAUUGAUAUUGUUGGAAAGAUAAUUCGAAGAGCUUUCAUUUGAUAUAUAGUAGUCCACCUAGUUCAUCAUAUACAAGGAUUUAUGGUUGAUUGAAGUUUACUCAAGUUUCAACACUCACUAAAACUCGAACGAUACGAAAGCUUUCAACUUGACCUUGAGUUAGGGGAUCUAUAUGAUCUCAAAUCAUGCUCAAAUAGGUUCUCACACUACGUAAUUGAUUAACAUACCAAAUUUACAUAGGAUUUAUGGAUUUUGGAACAUCUACACAUAGAAAUGACGAUUUUCGUUCUAGCCCGAAAUGCGGGGUGUUACAGAAAUACCGAGGUAUUUUUUUUAUGAAUAGAGGGAGUUAAAAUCCCCGCAAAUUAUAUAAUUUGGAGCUGUAUUUUUUGAGAAACGGAUAGCGGGUGUUAAAAUUCCCGCAAAUUAUGUAAUUUUUUAUGGUAUUUUUAAAUGUAUAGUAGGGGGUUAAAACCCCCGCAAAUUAUAUAAUUUUUAACGGUCAAUUUUUAACCCUCGCAUUUAAUAUAAUUUUGCAGGGGUUAAAAUAAUCCCCGUAAAUAAACCUCCGCAGUUAUACUAAUUUUUUGUAGUGCAGAGAUAGGUUGAGAGAAGAAAAUGAAAAAAAAUAACAAAAAAAGAUGAAGGUUGAGGAAAACAAAAAAAUGAAGGAAAAAAAAGAUAACAAUUUUUUUUUUAAAAAAAUAAAGGCUGAAAAAUAAAAAUAAAAGAGAAAAGAGAAAAUAUAAAUCAAACAAAAAUUUAAAAAGGGAAAAGAAGAAGUUGAGAGGAGAAAGAAAAAAAAGUAAAGGUUGAGAAAAACUAAAAUAAAAGAAAUAAAAGAGAGGAAAUAAACCACUAGAGUUGGCAUGAUGGUUCAGCACUAUGUCCCUUAAGCAAGAGAUCGGGGGUUCGAUCCCCGCCUCUGGCGAACAGAGAAAACUCUGUGGCCAGUUUUCUACCGCUUAGUGUGCUAAUUGAGGAACGAAGGAUUAGUCUCACGGCUGCCGGCUGUGGGAAUAUCUUGGGAAAUCAAAAAAUAAAAAAGAGAGGAAAUAAAAAUAAAAAUCAACAAAAAAUAAAAAAGAGAAAAAAAUAGAAGCUGAAAGAUAAAUAAAUAUAGAGAGUUGUUUAAAAAUAUUUGAGGUACAGAGGGUCAAAUAGGUAUUUAUUCUAUGCAUCAAACAAAAGUAAAACUAGUUUUGUAGGACUUUUCUUAUUGGGGACAAAAAAACAAAGCCACCAACUAUGAGGGUCAUUUCUAUAGUUUACUAGAAAUCACGUUUAGUGUCUUUUAAUGUGUCCGAUCUUAAAAUUUUUUUUCUCCUAAAAUGUUUGGUCUUAAAUUUUUAUCUAAUAUGAAUAAAAGUUUAGAAAAUAAUACUUGAAGAAAAAUUCUCUUAGAUGUUAAAAUAGGAAAAAUAUAUAAACGUGUUGUCUAACUUUACCUCUACUGAUAUUUAUGUGUUUUAAGUUUAGAUAUGUAUAAGUCGACACUUAAACUAUCAUAAAGUUGAACAAACAGUAUAUCCACGAACAAACAGUAUAUCCACGAUGAAGGAGAGAACUAACAAGCCAUGAUCCAAUGAAGCCAUUGCCUCCAGUAACACACACUGCUUCACCUUCUUCCCUCUUUGCCAUUUUUAUUGCUUCGCUGGAAAAUGCUACUACUUUGAAUUAACCAGUUAACAGUAGUGGAAUGAAGAUUGAUGAAAGAGGAAAAUGGAAAUAAACAAUGCCUAUGAUUCUUUAUCCGAUGAGAAAAGAGUCAAGUCUUUUUUAGUUUGGUUCCUAAAAAUGGCUAGAAUUUGAAGAGAAUAAAAAAAACAAUCCCUCAUGAUUGCACUAAUGGCUAGUUUGGUACGAGGGAUAAGGUGAAAUAUUCGAAAGUUUAAGUUUGGUAUUAAAUUUAUAUUAUGUUUGAUUAAUGAUAUAAAUUUAUCUCAGAAUUAAUUUAUAUCAUCAAUCAAACAUGGUAUAAAUAUAAUAUCAAACUUUAUGUUGGGAUAUCUCAUGUUAUUUUAUCCAACAUGAAAUUAUUUUAUUCCGCCUUCCUUGUGGUAUAAAUUAGUCUAGGCAUUAUUAUACCAGAAUGAUAGUUUUGGGAUAAUUUAUUUUACGUACCAGACGAUCCCACACGGGAUGAUUUAUUCUAUGUAUCAAAUUUCGAGACAACUAAUUUCGAGAUGAGUUAUCUUGAAAUUAUAAUGUUAUUUUUAUUCCAUCUUGAGGGUAGGAUAACUAAUUUUGUGAUAACUUAUUUCUUAAUUAAACAACCACUAAGAUCAAAAUAAUCAAUAAAAUAUUAUUCAUUCCUAAAUACCUCUGACAUUUUCUAUUUGCACGUUUUUUAAGAAAAUCAUUAACUAGAGAUUAUUUAAUAUUCCUCUCUAUUUAAUACUUUUCUUAUUUUUCCACAAAUACUAAUAUGUCUCGAUACUUAUGACUACGAUAAAGGGAAAAUGUUAAAGAUUGAUAUUCAGAAAGCUUAUGAUUCUGUAGAGUGGCCCUUUGUAGAACAGUUUAUAGAGCCUUAAAUUUUCCUAAUUUAUUUGUGCACUGGAUUAUGCAAUGCCUUAGUACAGUGACAUACUCUGUGGUGCUAAAUGGAGUUCCAACAACACCACCUCUUUGUUAUAGUGAUGGAAUAUCUCACCAGGCUUCUGAAGGGACUCAAUGCACAACCUAAGUUCAAGUACCAUCCUAAAUGUGCUAAGCUCAAGUUGAUGCAACUUGGAUUUGCUGAUGAUCUAUUAUUAUUCUGUAGGGGAAAUAUGAAUUCUGUUACUAAGCUCUUUGAUUGCUAUUCUAGAUUCUCUCAAGUGUCAGGGUUGCAGUCUAACUCUAGCAAGAGUUCUGUCUAUUUUGGAGGAGUUAAGAGUGAUGUCCAACAUCAAAUCUUGUAGUUACUUAGAUCUAGUGAAGGUUGUAUGCCUUUCAAGUAUUUAGGGAUGCCUCUUAAGACUAAAAGGAUGCCCAUCAUCCAAUGUCAGCCACUGGUGGAAAAAAUUAUGAACAACAUCACUUCUCAAACAUCUAGAUACCUAUCCUAUUCAGGUAGAUUGUAGUUGAUUAAGAGUGUGUUGUUUUCAAUACAAACUUAUUUGUCUCAAAUGUGUAUACUAUUUAAGGGAGUUACUCGAGUUAUGGAAGGCGCAUAUGUAGGAGGUUCUAUAGACAGGAAAUGCUGAAAUAUCAAAAAUAAACCUUGUAGCUUGGGAAGCUUUUUGCAGACCUCAGGUACGUAGCUGGUGGAGUAAACAUGACUGACCUCAUUUUUGUGGAACAAAGCUGCAAUUUUGAAGUUUCUUUGGACUCUAUGUAGGAAGAAGGAUAAACUCCGGGUGCAAUGGGUACACUUCUACUACAUUAAGGGAGCUCCUAUUAGUGAUGGUACGCCCAAGCAAGCUUCCUAGUUGAUGCAUAAGAUUCUUAAGACACAUAAGUAUUGCCAAGAUGCAGGAUUGACCUUGGUAGACCUCGCAAGAUUGGAACAUUUUUCCCUUCAAGAAGAUGUAUAAAAGAUUACUAGGUGAAUUUUAGAAAGUGACAUGGAGGAGGUUAAUGUGCAAUAACUAUGGAGCUGCAAAAUGAAUCUUUAUUCUAAGGCUGACCUUCAUGAAUAAACUGUCUACCAAAGAUAGGUUGAUUAAAUGGAAGAUGCAAGGGAAUAAGACCUGUAUGUUGUGUAAAACUGAGGAUGAAAAUGUUGGAACAUCUGUUUAUCCAAUGUGAUUAUGCUGCUAAAGUGUGGAAUGCUCUGCUGGGAUGGUUGAAUAUACCAAGGACUACCCUGUCCUGGACCUGUGAACUAGAGUGAACUGUUAAAAAUGUCAAAGGUCGAUAAGGAAAAACACAUAUCUUCAGGAUGAUGCUUGCAGUAUGUGUUUAUAACAUCUGGAAUGAGAGAAACUGUAGAAUCUUUAAGAAGAUUGUGACUCCUCCGAAGAAGGUUGUUAGACUAGUGAUCCAGGAUAUUAUGUGUAUUGUUAUGGCUAGGUCUAAGUUAGCAACUGUGGUUACUGAUCUGAACUAUUACCCUCCAUGUCAAUAGUCUGAUCAUGUAUUAAGUCUUUGGUUCUGCCAGACAAUGCUAUUAGGCUGGUAAUGAUUUGUAUUGUUACUUUGGUAAUAAAAUGAAAUCGUUAGUUACCAAAAAAAAAAAAUAAAGGGAAAAACAAAUACUUUCUUCAUGCACUUUUACUUGUCAAAUUUUGACUCAACCUAUUCAUUAAGAAAACAAUUAUUAAUAUAAUUAUUUUACCAUUGCCCUAAUUAAUUGAUAGUUACUAUUGUGUCUUGAAAUUAAUUUAGAGAACAAACAAUUAAUGCUAAGGUAAAAUAGAAAAAAAAAAAAAAAGGUUGUCCUUCCUUGACAUGUCAAAAAUGACAAGUAAAAGUAGAAAUUCAAUCAAAAAAUAAGUGACAAGUAAUUUUGAACGGAGGGAGUAAAUAAUUAUGUCUUGGUUCUCUAAAAUGACAAUACUACUCUCUUUGUCCAAUCUUUAUUUGUCCAAUUUUUAAUUAGCACAGGAAUUAAGAAACAGUAAAUGAUAGGAGUAAUUUUACUAUAGUACCCUUUGAAUAAAAUAAAUUUAAUACUUUGAAAAAUACAUUAUAUAAUGAAUCGUAUUUAAUGUUGAGGAUAAAAUGAAUAGAAAUAAAUAAAUUAUCCAUUAAUUUUAUAAACUACACAAGUAUUACUGAAUAUUCAAAAAUAAAAAAUUAAACAAGUAAGAAUAGAUGAAAAAAGUAUUAUAAAAUAUUUAUUUAUAGUAAGUAUAACACGUACUCCCUCCGUUUCAUAAUAAGUUAAUUGUUGGAUUUUGGCACACAUGUUAAGCAAAAAAAAAAGCAAAGACAUAAAUUUAUCAUGUUUUUUCAUUUUUCCCCUUUUCAAAUUUCAAAACCUUAAUAAUUAUACAUCACUCCCAAUACACAUUUAAUGGAGGGUAAAUUUGGAAAAAAUUUCCAACAUCUACCUUGAAUUGUGAACCAUUCACUUAUUUUGAACACUAAAAAAUACUCCAGCAAUUCACUUGUCGGGAGAAAGUGUUAUUUAGUAACUGAGGGAGUACUACUUAAUCAGUAGUAUGGAGUGAACAUUUUUUAGUCAUUUAAUAUUUAUCAAAAAAAAUUAACUAACAACACCAAAAGUUCUCGUAAUAAUCCCACAAAUCGCUACAUAAAAAUUACACUAUAAACGAAAAGUUAAGUCAAAAUUUUAGAAUAGAUCAAAAGUAACAUACACUACAAAAAUCAUACUUCCAAAUGUGAGUUUCCAUUAUACAUUUUUUAUUAUACAGUUUCGAUUAAUUAAAAUCUGGUAAAUAUCUUAAUGAAAUAAAAAAUGUUCACUUUCGACAGUAGGAUAAGAAAACUAUUUAAAUGAUCUUUAAGUGAUUGUUUUUAACUUACUACCAAAAGUAAUUAAUUGUUUUGUCAUUUUGUUAUAACUUGAACAACUCUUCAAGUGAGUGUUUUUAACUUACUACCAAAAAUAAUUAAUUGUUUUGUCAUUUUGUUAUAACUUGAACAACCAUGUUUGGUUGAUCUUUAGGGUUAAGCAUGAUAUAGUUAAUUCAUUUUUAUCCUACAUAAAAUAAUACAUACAUACAUACAUAUAUAUAUAUAUAUAUAUAUAUAUAGUUAAUGUAUAUAUUAUAUACAUAAAAUUUAAACUAUUAUACUGAAAUUGAAUUGGUAUCUCAUUCAAUGUGUUUAGGAAGUAAGAUGAUUAUGAUGAAAAGAGGAUUUUUUUAGAUGAAGAUACAAAUAAAGAAAUCGAAAGAUCGGGAAAAUGAUAAAUGAACUUUGAUAAGAAGAAUUGAGGAUAAAAUAUAGAAUUUUUGGGUAUUUGAUGAUUCAAAUUGAUAGCAUUAAUGCAUAAGCUUACUUUUAGAAUGAUAUUUAAUCUUUAUUGAUAAUUUAAGGCACUAUAAGUUUGUGUUAUAAAAGUGAUUGAGGAAGGUUAAUGAAAUUAAAUAAUUUCGAAGGACAUAAAAGAAAUUAUAUAAUUACGAAGGACAUAAAAGAAAUUAUAUAAUUUAGAAGGACAUAAAAAAAAACUAUAUAUAAUAAAAUUAUCAAAAGGAGGUACUUUAGAAUACCUCGUCACCUUUAAUUUGCUCUCUUAUAUCAGUCUUGAACUCCCGACCUCAUGAUGUAGAGAGCACUCUCUCAACCACUAUGAACAAGAGCGACUGAUGUCCUUUCUUCAACAAGCAAAAUUAUUUAUGACUUUCUAAUGUAAGAUCGACCAAACCGAGCAAAAUUAUUUAUGACUUUCUAAUGUAAGAUCGACCAAACCGAUAAAAUUGUAAAAUACUAGGUGGUUUAUUUCUUCCUGUAUUAUUUUUGAUAGACAAAGUCAUUUGCGUUAGGCUUUUUGCCCUGAUUUUCUUAACCAAAUUAAGUUUUAUUUUUCUUGAAAGAAAAAAUAAAAGUAAUAUCAUAAUUACUUUUAUCUUUCUUAAAAAAAAAUAUAAAAAUUUAUCAUAUUUGGCGAACCUCUUUCUUGGAGAAAGGUUUUGAAACUCUAUAAAUAGAAGACCCUCCCUUCUCAUAUAAUAACACAAUAGCAUGCACAAUGUAUUCAUUUACGAGUCUUUUAUAGGCGGAGAUUUUCUUCCAAUAGUUUUAUGUUUUCUUUAAUAGUAGUUUUCAUAUGUAGGCCAGUUGGACAAAUUAUAUCAAUAAUAUUAUGUUUUUAGUUUAUAUUGUGUCAUCUGAAUUAUCGUUGUCUUGGUUUGUAAACUUUAAGCUUCUGCAUGACGCCCUCUCGAUUUCGAACCCAACAAGAGGUGUCAGAGCCCACGGUUCAGUGAUUCGAUGGUCCAAUUGUUGAAUAAAAUUGCAACCAAUUUGAUGAUAAUGAAAAUAUAUGUCCAAAACCUACAUGUGGAGACGAAUAUUAUCAAUUAUAUUUUCAAUAAUCUUGUUGUUACAUAUUUGAAAAUAAAACUCACUUUUAACCCUAUAAAGGAUUCCAAUAUUUUUAACCCGAAAGGACUCGUAUAUUUUAACCCAAAGGGCUCCAUUUUUAAGCAUGCAAAGCAGCAGUGAUAUAUGAAGGUUAUGUGAAGACGAAGAUUAUGCAUAUGAAGAAGGCGAGUCAAGCUUUGUCAAAAAAUCAAGCCAAAAAGGAAAGAUUUGUUAGAGUUUUUGCCUUAGUUUUCGUAUUAAAAUUAAGUUUUAUUUUUCUUGAAAGCAAAAAAAAGUAAUACCAUAAUUACUUUUCUUAAAAGAAAAAUAUAAAACUUUAUUAUAUUUGGUUAACCUUUUUCUUAAAAGAAAGUUUUUGAAACUCUAUGAACAGAAGACCCUUCCUUCUCAUACAAUAACACAAUAACAUCCACAAUAUAGUCAUUUAUGAGCCUUGUUUAGGGGGACAUUUUCUCCCAAUAGUUUUAUAUUUUUUUUAAUAGUAAUUUUUAUAUGUAGGCCAGUUAGCCAAUUUAUAUCAAUAAUAUUAUGUUUUUAGUUUAUAUUGUGUCAUCUGAAUUAUCGUCGUCUUGAUUUACAAACUUUAAGCUUCCGCAUGACGCCCUCUCGAUUUCGAACCCAACAAUUUGAUAUCUUUUAUUGGUGGGAGAUGACAGAUGUUCGUGAAAUACAUUGAGGUGAGCGUGGAAGCUACUUCACACACUACAGUUAUAAAAAAAUAAAAUCAAAAGACCCGACCAUUUAAAAUAAGUCAUGUUUGGGUGGGUAUGUCUAGGCAUUCAAAAAACAAUUGGAUCACUAUAUAAAUAACUUAUCAGAUUUACCAUUUUUUCUAAUCGGUAUAUAUAUACUAUACAUUACUAUACACAUAUUAUAUAUAUUUACCAGCUCGCUAUUUUUAGUUUAAGCAAAUGAUGGGUCAUUAUAUAACUCGGUGGAUGUUCUAUCCGCCCUUAAAUGGUAUUACCGGUCAUUCUGGAGGAGCAGUUGAUUUAGCAAAUUUUAUUCUUCAUCUACAUGGCGUUUCAUUCAUUUUAGGUUCUAUUUAUAACAACUAUCUUCAACAUGGGUGGACCUGGAAUGACUAUGCAUAGAUCACCUCUAUUUGUGUGGUCUGUUCUAGUAACAAUAUUUUUACUUUUAUUAUAACUUUUGGUACUUGGCAGGGGCCCUAGGUCUACACGAUUCAGGCAGACUCUUUAUCCGUGCACGUGCCUAUUUUGCUUUAGGAGGUAUUAGAGGGAAGUUUGGGUAAAAAUCUUUUUUCUGCUAAUUCUCUUCUUGUUGUACCAUGUAUAUGACGAUAGAGAUGGAGUGCUAUUAGCGAUAGUUGUUGUUAAUGUAAUCCUCAAGAACCGAGUAACCCAACUUAAUGGCGAUGUCAACCAUUUGGACGGACAAGUGUAGACUAUGACAGAAAGACAGAGGAAUCUGGAAUCGUUGGUCACCAGACGCUCGCUAAUGAGUAUCACGUCUUUGGAGUAUGAAAGUUAUGUCACUACGACAAAGCUUCAACGACCAAAGCCAACUAUGGUUAAGCUUUGGUCCAGCUUGCUGUUACAUUAGUUUUGGCUUCAGCAGAUGCAUCCUAUUACUAUGUUGAUGAUCUUGUAUACUAAUCGAGUCAACACAUACCCAAGAACACGUACGUCGUCCCUGAAAUUGUCUUGUCUUUGUUAUAAUUUCAGGGCCUAGUAUACCCGUAUGGAGCCAUCACAUUCGCAAGGCUUGCUUUACAUUAAACCUGAUGUUUGAGCCUCUCAUAGCUUAGUACCGGUGAACGAGGCAAGCAUCCUGCAAGGAAACCAACCUUUCUCAAAAAUCAAUGUAUGCCUCACCGUUGCUUUCGAGUAGAGGUAGGCUCUUGUUAAUGCUUAAAGUAGUUCAAGCUGCUCUUGGUCAUUCUUUUGUUGUUCUUGAGUAUAAAGAAAAUGACAAAAAAAACCUCACACGGAGAUCGAUGUGUCCAUAGAUAUAUGAAAAUUCAAUUACUUCACUUUCAAAAUCUGGGAUUUUAGAGGCAAACGAAGACGUAAAAAUACUCGAAGUCAUCCAUAGCGGCCAGACAAGCUCUCUGUCGAGCUGCCGAUUAUCCACACAAGCACAAAUUAAAAGAGUAGAUUACACCAUGAUACAACUUUAUAUAUUACUCCCUUCAUAACAUAUAAAGAUUACUCUUUUAAAAAAAAAAAAAAAAAAUUCAAAGUGGCCAUAUCUUGGCCAUUUAUUAAAAAGUUCAAAUAGCAAUGUACAAAAUGACUAGGCCAAAGCCCAAAAAGUUCAGGUCCGAGAAAAAUUCACAACCCUGAUCGAAAAAUGAAAUCAAAAGAAAUAGCAAAAAAUAAAUGAAAAAGGCAACUUCGAAAAGAUAUCACAAAAGACGCUUUAAAUUCUCACAAGCACCAUAUUUAUCUCAAAAUAUUUGUCAUUUUAAAUAUUUUUUUCAUCUUACCCUUAAUAUUAGUGUUUUCGAAAACAGACAAUAUUGAUUACAACAUAGAAACUAUAAAUUUGAAGAGUUUAAAGUAGAGAUGCUUCCUCCGUUCGUUUUUACUUAUCACUUAUUUACUAAUUGAAUUUCAAGUUUUAUCUAUUAUUUUUGGCAUGUCAAGAAAAGAUAAUUUUUAUUUUUUUAUUUUACCCUAACCAUUAAUUAUUUUUUCUUUAAAUUAAUUUCAAAAUACAAUAGUAAAUAUUAUUUAAUAGCGGUAUUAUGAUAAAAUAAUUAUUUCAAUAAUUAUUUUUCUUAAUGAAUAUACUAAGUUAAAAUGUAAUAAGUAAAAAUUAACGGGAGUAAAAUGUUGAUCCUAUAACUAUUCACCUACUAAAUUCUAUUAAGUUGGCCUUGUUCUUAAAUAAUGUGCAGUUUAUUGAAGAUUGAUAUGGGUGAAAUAAUACUUUUUCGUUCACUUUUAUUUGUCUAUGAUUGGUUUGUCACAUACUUCAAUUGAUAACAAAUAUAAUGACAAUUUUACUAUAAAUCUUUUAUUGUUAUAAAAUAACAAAGAAUAAAGAAGAAGAUCAGAGAGUAGAGAGUAAUUUUUAUUUAUCUUGAGGGAUUCUUUGGGUUGCUUCAGAAUUAUUUACAAUGAAUAAAACCCCUUUAUUUAUAAGAGAAAUUACCUCUAAUUUUACUUUAAAAGAUAGAUACUUCAAAUCCUGAUAGAUAUCAAUUAGAUCAUAAUAGAUCUUAUAUAUAUUCUUGAUAGACAUUCACUAUAAUGUAAAUACAUUUUUAAAACUCCCUCUUGAAUGUCUAAUUGAUAGAUAAUGUGUCUCGUUAAAACUUUACUAGAAAAAAACCCAGUGAGAAAAAAAUCCAGUGAAGGAAAGAGAGUACACAUCUCUAACAAUACGCAUAUAAGUUGCCUCAUUAAAAACCUUACAAGAAAAACUCAGCGAGACAAAACCUUGAAAGAGAAAAAGAAUACAACCCAUACUAACUCCCUCUAAUGUAAACAUCAUUGAACCUUUGCAUCUCGAUCUUGUGCACCAUCUUCUUAAAAGUUGCAAUUGGGGGAGACUUGGUGAAUAAAUCAGUCACAUUGUCACUUGAACGAAUCUAUUGCACGUUAAUAUCACCAUUUCUUUGUAACUCAUGUAUGUAUAACAGUUUUGAUGAAGUGUGCUUCAUUCUAUCUCCUUUUAUGAAUCAUCCAUUAAGAUGUGUUAUGCAUGCUGCAUUAUAUCCAUAUAAAAUUGUGGGUACAUUAUCACAUUUCAAACCACAUUAUUCUCGAAUGAGAUGUAUCAUGGAACUCAACCAUACACAUUCUCGGCUUGUUUCAUGAAUAACUAUUAUUUCAGCGUGGUUUGAUGAAGUGGCUAGAUAGACUACUUUGUAUAUCUUCAAGAUACGACAGUAUCUCCACAUGUGAAUGCAUUACAUGUUUGAGAUCGAUAUUUAUGCGGGUUAAAUAAAUACCCAACAUCAAUAUAAUCAACAAGAUUGGAACUGCAAUCUUUAGAAUAAAAUAAGAUCAUGAGUUUGAUCUCAUUUCGAUGUCUCCUAGUAGAGCAGAACUAUACCUUACUAACAAAUUAACAGAAAAGGCUAUAUCAGGCUUUGUAAUAUUUAUAAGAUAUAUUAGUGUUGUGCACCAAUUGCACUAAGAUAUGAUACUUCAUAUUUCUCAUUUUAGCAAAUAAUCUAUUUAUUUUGAAAACUCUCCAAGAGUUUCAACAAUAUUCAUACCAUUAAUUUAUCUCUUAUAAGGAUAAUAAAUAAGUUUUCCUAUGCUUCAGGCAUUUUGAAUCCUUUAGGGAUUUUCAUAUAGAUUUUUGUCA